rnacentral:lncRNA from 1 species
UCUGCUCCGUCCACUUGUAAGUAUUUGAUUGGAUAAGGUGGAUCCUGUCAAGCUAAUUAUACAGUGGAUUGUGUGUUUUAUGUCUAUCUAUGACCUCCGCAAAAUGGACGGUGGUGAUUUAAAGUAAGUAACGACAAGAAGCAUUUUUCUUCUCAGUCUAAUCAUAUCUGCAUUAGUUGGGAUUGUAAAAUGAAUAGUGUUGGAUCUAUUUUGAGCGAUCCGAAUUCUUCUGCGACUUAUUUUCUAAUUAUUUUAAAUUCGCGACUUAUUUUUUAAUUAUUUUAAUGUUUAUUCGAGAUUUUUUAAGGAUAAACUGUAAAAAUAGAUACUUUUAUUUGUCUCAUGUAAUACCCAAAUUUUGCCAAGCCCUAUCAAUAAUAAAACCAAAUAAAAAUAAAAAAAUAAAUGUCCAGUUUUUAUUACAACAGCAGGCCCAAUUAAUUUACCUAAAAUACAUUUCCCAAACCCGAAUAGCCCAACACCAGACCCAAACCCUAGCCCAACUCGAACUGGCCCAUUUUCUUGAAGCAUCCAGAAACCCCUAGGGUUUCUGGAGCGAUUUGCGCCGCAGCCUAGCCAGACUCCUCACCGCGCACGCAUCGGCCUCCCCCACGUACGUCUCGCCUCCAGUUGUACCUGCAGCAACAAACAACCAACAACAACAGCAAAAUAAAGGGGAAAAACGAGUAACAAACGGAAAAGAGGGAUUUUUUAUUUUUAUUAUUUGUAUUAUUUAUUAUUUCCAGCUAUUUAAGGCCAGGAAAGAAAUCUGCAAAAGGGGGAUUUUUACGAAAGCAAAAGACAAAGAAAAUUUGAAUACAGAUACAAAAAUAUUUUUGAAUACAAAGGUUUUUUUAUUUUAUUUUAUUCUACUUUGUUGGUGCUCAUCGUUCUUUUACUUUUUAUUAUAUAUAUAUUCUUUUUCUUUUUCUUUUUUUAAAAUAAAAAGAAGGGAAGAAAGGGAAACUUACCUUUUUCCGCCGGAACCACCGAGUUGAUGCCGUCUUUGUCGUAAUCGGAGCUUUGGCACAAGGCUGAACGUCGGCACUCAAGGGUUGGUGAAACCCUAAAGAAACUGUUUCUUUUUCGCUGCUUCAGGAAAAGGAAAACAAAAAUGUUUCUUAAUUUUUUUUUUUAAACUUAAAGAAGGAACAAAACGGCGCCGUUCAGUGGGGGGAGGGUUCGCGCAUUUCCACCCUAAAUGGGAAAUUCGCGCAGUUAGGCCUCCCUUUUUUGCGACAUGUUUUUAUUAAACCCUUUGUUCCUUUUUUAAUUUGGCCCAAAUGUUUUACCUUUAUUCAUUUCAGCCCGUGUCAAUGCACAGCAUUUUGGGGGGCGGAUUAUUAUUAAACUGGUCCCCCAUGUCAUUCAUGCGUUGCAAUCUUGCCCUCAAUUUAUUUUUAAUUCCAUUUGUCACUUGUUAGUUUUAUUUCAAUUGUAAAAUGAUAUUUUUUUUGUUUUCUUUUUUUGAGUUUAUUAUUAAUUCAUUAAUAUCAUUAUCUUAUUAUUAUUGUUAUAGUUUAUUAUCACUAUUCUUAUUGUACCCAUAGUAUUAAUAUAUCUGUUUAAUUCUCACUUGUUUUCUUAUAUAUUUAUAUUAUUUUAUAAUAUAUAUAUCUUUUUUAUAUACUUCCUGUAAUACCUAAUUUUAGCGCGGACUCACAUAUGGAAACAUAAUCUUUGAGGAUAUGCAAUCUUAGAUACGAUAUAUGCAAUCUUAGAUAUGAUAUUUAAUCUUAGAAGAUAUGAUUUUGUAAUCUUAGAGAUUUAAUUUGUAGAUACUCUUUAAUCUUCGCCUUUGAUGUAAUUGAUUUGUACCGUUGAAUUUGGGGAGGCUCAGCUAUAAAUAGAGGCCUCUCCCUUCAUUGAAAAAGAAAGAAUCAAUAAAAAAGGGAGAAAACGAUUGGCAGUUUUUUAAAGGUGACUUACUGUUUUCUUUUUUUUUCUUUUUCGAUUAUUUUUUACUUAUUUACGAUUUUAAAAAAGGGAGAAGGUGAUACCACUGCGAAUUUUAUUUAUUUAUUUUAUUUAAUCCUAAUAAAGUGACGCGUUUCAAAUGAUGGAGAUAUUUUUCUAUUCGAGCCCUAUGAGUUAUUCGCACCUUUUAAUUGGGCCCUUCAUUUUUUUUAAUUCUGUUGAUUUUCAAUUUAAUCCUUAAUCUUUCAUUUUAGGUUUUUAGUCUAUUUUAUUAAUUUUGUUAUUAUUAUUUUUAUUAUUGUAUUGUAUAUUAUUAUUAUACCUACAUAUAUGUGCGCAUAUGCAUGUUAAUAUAUAUACCUAUAUAUUUUAAACGUUUUAAUAUAUAUACAUACUUUAUUAUUAUUUUAUUUUCAUAGUUUUUUUAUACAUAUAUAUAUAUACACAUUUAUAUUUCAUAUAUUUAUACGUUUGCCCAUAUUCUAUGAUUUUUAUAUGUUUAUACAUUUUUGUAAUAUAUAUACAUAUAUUUAUACUCCAUUCAAAGCUUAUUAUAAAUAUUUUCCACGUUUUUAUAUUAUACUUAUAUAUUUCAUUUUUUUGUAAAUGCAUGAAUAUAUUUUAUAUGUAUAUAUUUAUAUUUUCCUUGUUUUUAUAAAUGCAUUAUGUAUUUUAUAUAUAUAUAAGUUUUAUAACCCAAAAUUUUAUGAGUAAAUUAUCUUUAUGUCUUUUAUUCUUCAUAGUUUCAAAUGUAUAUAUAUUUUGUACCUUUUUUUCUUUAUAUUUUUUUGUUUAUUUCCUCCAUUUGCUUAUUGAUUUAUGUUUUUAUUUAUAUUCAUUUGAUAUUUUACAUGUCGUUGUUUAUGUACAUUAAUUUCUUUUAUUUCUAUGCCAUUGUUGUAUUUAUUAUUACAUUUUAUAUUUAAUGUAGCAUCACAUCAUUUUUUUUUCGAUUUUAAAAUUUUCAAAAUUGAGAUAACACUCGUAUUUAAGAUUUUCAAGGAAAUUGAGCCCUAACGUAUUGGGUUCCGAUUUUCUUCGUUAAAUCCAACGAUCGAGGGUUUCUCAUUAAUAAAAAAUAUAUAAAAUAAAAAGCUUGUUGUUGGGGAGUUAAAUAUGUUGUAUCCUAACGUAUUGAAUGUGACGUAUUGAUUUCUCGAGACAGAUUUUUUGAAAAUAAUAAUAAUAAAGGAAAUAUUUCAAGUUUGGGAUUUUGAGGAAUUGUGCCUUAACGUAUUAGGCCGCGAUUUCUUAAAUCUUAAACAAAUGAAUAUUUUUUUAAAUUUUUAUUACACGAGUUUUAGACUAAUUCAUUUUUGAGGAAAUUAGAAUGUUGUGCCCUAACGCAUUGGGUGUGACAUUUUCUUUCUCCGAAAUGAUAAGGGUCUUAAUAAGUAACGUUUUUAAGUUUUUGUUAAGGAUUAUAUUUUUUAAAUUUUCGACAUUAAGACACUAAUUAAUUAACUAGGUACCAAUUUUGGGCGUUAUGAUGGUGCUAAUCCUUCCUCGUACAUAACCGACUCCCGGAUCCGUUUUUCUAGAACUCGUAGACCAAAGCCAUUUUUUAGGUGAUCCAAUCAUACCUCAAUAAAAGAUUGGUGGCGACUCCCAAUUUUCAUUUUUUAAAGUCGACAACCUAAAAUUUUUGUUUUUCAAAAAAAUGGUUUCGACACUUCUAAUUUUUACAUAAAAUUCUCUUUUUAUAAAUACAUACAUUUUUUUCAAAACAUAUAUAUCUUUUAUAUUUUUAUUUCAAAAACAUAUUUUUUUAACUUUUGUAAAUAUAUACAUAUACACAUACUUAUAUAUAUAUUGUUAUAUCUUGUAAUUAUUUUUUAUUAUAUCUUGUAAUUUAUAUAUAUAUGUACGUAUAUAUAUUUUCUUAUACUUUUAUUCAUUUUUAUUUACUUGUUUAUUUUUAUUUUCGUUAUUAUUUUAAAAAAAUGUUUUACUUUUGCUUAUAUACCUGAUAUUGUGUAUGUUAUUGAUUUGUUUUUUUUAUCUUAUUUUCGUUGCUAUUGCUCGUAUUAUUUUUACACCAUCGUGUUUAUUAUUGUUUUAUUAUGCAUAUCAGCAAUGUAAUUUGUUUUUGCAUUCUUUUUAUUACGACAUCGCAUCUCAUUUUACUCGAUAUAUCAAAAUUUGUUUUAAAUAAAUAACAUUUCGUAUUUCAAGAUUCAAAAAAGUCUUACCCUAACUUACGGGGUUUCGAUAUUCUCGAUAAAUCUAAAUACACGAGAUUUUUUAAAUAAUCUUGGGAAUUAAUAAAAGAUUGUGUUCUAACUUACAGAACAUGAUCUUCUUUAAAACUCGAGAUAAUUGAAUAUCUUUUUAAAUAAAUUUUUCGGCAUUCAUUCUCGUAUCGAAAGUUUGGGCAUUUGUCCUAACUUACGGGAUGUAAUUCUCUUUCUUGAUUAACGUAAAAAUGUCUUUGUCUCAAAAAUUCUCGAUGUUUUGACAAAGGAUCGUAUUUUAAAAAAAAACUCUUCAAAAUUUUCAAACUUCGACACUGAGACUAAUUAAUUAACUAGGUACCAAUUUUGGGCGUUACGAGGGUGCUAAUACUUCCUCGUACGUAACUGACCCCCAAACCUAUUUUUUUAUUUUCGUGGACCAAAAUCGUUGUUUUGAUAAAAUCAAAUUGUUUAUUAAAAACAACCGUUUUAUGAGGUGACCCAAUCACAUCUUAUAAAAAAGAUUGGUGAUAAAAAAGAUUGGUGGGACUCCCAUUUUUUUUAUUUUCAAGAUCUAAGUCGAUCCUAUUUUCAAUUUUAAAAGUGGUUUCAACAUCUCAUAUUAUAUUUUAGUUACUUAUGUUUAAAAUGUAACGUUUUAGUCACUUAUAUUAUCGUUUUGUUAUGAAGUGACCACUCUAACGUGAAGCUCUGUUAACUCUCUAACGACAGUCCUACCUGGCAGUCCAAAUGGAUUUUUAAAUGCCAACUUAAAUGUCUAGCUGCUAGGAUGAUAAUAGAUUUUUAAUUAAAUAAAUUAAAUUUAGGCUACCACGUAGGACAUCCAAGUUGGUAUUUAAAACCCAUUUGGAUUUGCAAUGUAAGACUACCGUUAGGGAGGUAAUGAAACUUAACGGUAGAGUGACCACUUCAUUACAAAACAAUAAUGCAAGUGACUAAAACGUAACAUUUCAAACACAAAUGGCUAAAAUGUAAUUUGAGGCAAACAAAAGUGACUAUUUUUACAAUUUACCCUUUUUUUUAAUAAUUUCAAUACAUUUUCAAAAUAAGAUUAUAGUAAUUGGAUUUGUGAAUAUUUUUAUAUUUUAAUAAUUUAUUUUAUAUAUGUUUUAGGAUUUUUUUUUAUUUUUCUAAUAAUUUUUGUAUAUGGUCAAAUUGGUAAAAAAAACUGAGGACUACAUUUAUUAUUAUAUUAAUUGAAAAGUUCAAUGUCAUCAUUCCAUGAGUCACUUAAUAAUUAGAUGACGAAAUUCUUUUGAAAAUGUUAUUGAUCAAAUUAUAAUUUUUUAAUUGAGUGAUAAAAAUAAAACUUCCGCAUAAUUUAGUAACAGUUGGUGGAGUUUAUCCUAAAUUUUAAAAAAAGUGUUUGUUAAAAAAAUAGCAUUAUCAAGUAUUAAGUGUAAUGGUAAAACAGACUAUAUUUUUAGGAAAGAACAGUCAUUCAAACCUUGAAAAUAACAUUAUCAAGGACAACUUCAAACCUCAAACAUAAAUUAUACCACCAACAUGAAAGAUAAAAAAUAAUAGUUGGUACUUUGGCAUUCCUUAAUGCUUAUAUUAGGGUACAGUACGUAUCAAUACUAAUAAAAAUAGAUAAAUUAUAUUUAUAGUCACCGAAAAAUUAUUUUAUCACUCAAUUAUAAAAAGUUACAAAAUAGUCAUUUAACUAUUUUUUUUGUCACUAACCGUUAAAUGACUGAUGGGUAGUGAUGUGAUAACUUUUAAAAUUUGUAUAACAACACCUUUAAUCUUUAAUAUUAUACAUUUUGUGAAUUUAGCUUUGAUUCUAAAAAAAUUAACUCUCAAUAUUUACACAUUAUGUAAUUUAAUUUUUUUUCCCAAAUUUGCUUUUCUUUAUGACCUUUUUGUUAGAACUGUAAAUAAUAUUUAAUAUAAACUUAGAACUGUUAAUCAGGAUCUAUCAUGUCAAAUCAUCAACAAUAAAUCAAAAACAAAACUAGAUGCGAAAGCAUACCUGAAUUCAUCGAUUUCUUAAAAUCUACAGAUCUUGAGGUUUUUUAUCUUCCAAAUUAGCACACAAGUAUUUAUAAAAUGUAGCUUUCCCUUUUCUAAAUAUGGGAUAUUAGAAAAGUUAGCUUGUAUGUAAUUUGAGGACCAUAACCUACAAUAUAUAACUUUAGCACAUUAGCUCUAAUUCUUAAUUAGCCCAUCAUUAAUUAGAAAUUGAUUAGAACUUAAAUACUAGAGUAUCUACACAUAUUUAACCCAUAACAUGUAAUUACCCUUAUUAUAUAUGCGAUGUCCAUAUUUUUCAACAAUUUUCACUUAAAAAAUUAAAAAAGAUCUAUCAAUUAAAUUUGAUCGAAAAUAUACCAAAAACAAAAACACCGAAAAUCAAAGAUAAUAAUUUUCAUAUUGUCUUAUUCUUUUAAAAUUAACACUCAAUGUCACAAAUAAAAAUAAAACUACAACAAAAAAAACAAAAAAAAAACCAAAUUAUAUAAUAUGUAAAUAUUAAAUGUUAAUUUUUUGAAAUCAAGAUAAAAUUAACACAAAAGAUAAAGUUAUUAUUAUAUCAAUUUCAAAAACAACAAAUUAUCUUUCUAUUAAUAAUUUAACAAUCGGUGACCAAUAGUUAGAUAACCGAAAAAGAAACUUCCCUUGAAAAAUAAACGAAUAAUUCACAAUGAUUUGAAGAAGCCGAAGGCUUUUGUAUAAGGAUGGGGAAGAGCUCACGUCUUGUGUACUAAAAUUUUUGAAUGCUGAGAAAGAGAUUACCGAUGCACACAAACUUAGACUGCAGCCACCACCAACCAUAUGCCAUGGUUAAGUUCACCACCUCAGCCUAUCCUCACUUGUUUUUGCUUUUCUAGGAAUACAAUAUUUGCCUCAACAUUAUCUUUUGGAUGGCAACUGCCAUGAUUCUAUGCUAAAAGCAAAUGGCUUGCAAUUUCAUUGUUAAAUUAUCUAGUUCAUCCAAAACCAAGUCUUAAGAGACCGAACUAGGUCACUCUUGAAGCUCAUGCAUUUGGAAAUAGAUCUGUAUAACCCAUAUUCGAAUAUGUUAGAACACAUAUUGGUGGAGCAAUUAAGCUCAGCAUGCGAUUACUUGGGCUGCAGAUAGUACGUAGUUAAUUUACGUUUUUAUCUACCAAAAAUAAAACAAAAAUGAAAAGUCAACAUGAGUCGUUUACCAACAUUUGCGAGUGUAAGCAAUAUUGCUUCGACUUCUCUCCCAAGUUUGUAUUUGACACAUAUUCAAACAGGGAUGUAAAGAUUCAACCUUCCAAUACAUAGAAAACCUUGGAAGAAAAACACUAGUCUGAGUAACAUGGCGCGGAUAAUUGUAGAUACGGUGCAAUCAAGUGAUAGACACAACAAGAACUAAAUGGUUAAUACAUGCGCAAGUUCUUGAACUUGGCAACUUAUGCCUACUUGGUACCUAAACUUAAAAGCUAUACAUGUCAAAAUGUAAAGCUGCCACAUAUCACCAUGCUAUUGGUCACCAGUGCCAUGUUACCGUAUUUUAACAGAGUUAAUCAGGUACGUAAAAAAGAGUAGCAAGUUGGCUUAUGUUUCCAAAUUUAGGUAUCGAUUAGGUCUAAAAAAAAGUUUAAGUACCAAGUAGAUAUAAGUUGCCAAGUUCAAGUACCUCUUAUAUAUAUUAACCCCGAACCAAAUUAUAUCUACAUCAAGCCAGAACUCCAUCCCACUUGUUGAAAACACACGCAUAUAUACAUACCAUUUGACAUGGAAGUAUUAUAGUGAAGACAACAAAACAAAGAAAAGAAUGACAGUUCCAAGUUCAGCUAACAUUAAACACUCAAUCAAGUGCAAAGUUACAAAAAAUAAGUCAAACCUACCCCUCUUCAAUGGGAGUGAAAAAAUAUAUUACCUGAGAUUCACAGAACAAACUCCAUGGGAACAGUCUCACACUCAUCAAUCUGAACUAACUAUUAGAAUGACAGAUAUGAAAGAAAAAGAACCAAUAAAGAUCUAAUCUUUCAUAACGGUGAUAUAUCUAUGAUGAAACAAUUUUGAGCGCACCAUUCCUCUUCUUCAUUAGAUCAGCUUUAGAUUCCAUCUUCACAGGCAAUGGAGCAGAAAACACAAAAUCAUGACCUUGAAUCUGAUAGUCCUCAACACUGUUACUUCUUGCCUCUUUGUUCAAGUUCAUUGGCUCCUCCAAAUUCUCAACUAAAUCUUCACUUUCUUUGACAAGAUUCUCCAUUGUAUCUCCACGUUCAUCAUUCGAAACACUCUCAUCGGUUAAACUACCAUCUCCACUUGAACUAACCUCAUCUCCAUUGCUAAUAAUCCUAUAAACAUUCCCAUUUUCAGCAAAGCUUACAGUUUUCUUCACUUUUGGUUGAAUCCCUUGCCUUUUCAACAAAAGCUCACCAUUUUUAUUUUUAUUUUUAUUCUCUGCUUCAUCAAUACCUUGAUGAAAACCUUCAAGCUCAACAACAUCAUUUCCUUCUUCAAUGGUAGAAAACCUCUCAAGUUUUUCAACUCUGUCUCUCAGCUUCUCCAUUACUUCACCAGAUUUGGACCUUAAAACCUUAGGUUUACUACUACCAUUUCUCAAAACCCUAAUGUUUUUUGCAUUCUUAUAUAGGAGCUUAUGCCUUUUUAAAACUAACCCAUCAACAUAUUCUAAAAACUGAAUCAAAUCUUUACUAACUGACCUUUUUCCAUCUCUAAUCAUUGAAUCACCACCCUAAAAAAAAAAACCCAUAUUUCAAAAUCCAAAAGAAAGAAAAAUAGUCAACCAAGAUUUCAAGUACCAAAUAUAGAUAUAUACCUGAAAAGAGUCCAGUUUGAGAAGCAAGUCCAUGGCUUUUUGAGAAACAACUUGGGGAUCAAAAUGGAUAUUAUUGGAAACUGAAAGCUUGAGAGUGUUGAGACUUGAUUUGAUAAAGGCGAGAUCUUUGAGCUGUCUAAGUGUUCUUGAUCUAUGAACUAAGAAAGCUCUGAAAUGGGUUUGGAUUACACGAGCAGCUGCAUCUUUAAGUGAAAAUGAAGGGUAAGAAGAACAACUUGAGGCUUUGGAGAAGCUAUGGAGUGAUGAUUCAAGAGCAUUGAUACGGCUCACAAGUGAAGAGAUGAGAAAGUCGGGUUGUUCUUGCUGUUUUUGAUGAAAGUGAUGGUUUUUAGUGGCAAAGUUUUGAUCUUGGAAUGAUUUUAGAUGAUGGAUUUGAUUUAGAUAAUGAUUUUGUUGGGGUUGAAGGAGAGAGGCAAGGGCUUGUAGAAGAUGGUCAGACUGUUGGGGAUAUGGAGACGAAGCCGGUGCUGGUUGGAAGCACUGACUGCAAGAGCAGGUGGAGCAGCAGGUGGCGGAGGUAUGCUGGUGCUGAUGGUGGUGGUGGUGGUGGCAGCCCAUGACUUGAGGGUUUUGAGAAGGCAGUCACUGGCAGUGGCUUAUGGGGACUUAUGACUAGGGACAGGAGAGGCUCCGUUGGGAUAGAAAGAUUGGAGUUGGCAACGGUUUGGGCGUUUGGGUUUGGUUUAUGGCUUUAUGGGACCAUUUUGUAAUUGUCUUUGUUUUGGUUUAGAAUUAGAAAGAAUAACAAGUCGAGAUAGAUAUUGAAGUUUGAGAGGGACCUGCAAAUUUAUGGAUAAUCUAACAUGAGAAUAAGAAUCCGAUUUGGUGCUGGGCCAUAUUUUAACCUUUACCUGCUCUAAUCUUGGUCAAUGAUCUAACGAAGAAUGGCUGCUAUCAUUUUAUCAAGUCUUCUUGGAGUUGGAAGGUAUUCAUGGAUUAGAGGUGUUCAAUUGGUUUGGUCGGUCAAACUGAAUCGAUAUUUAUUCUGUUGAUUGUUUCGGUUAAUUGACCCAUAUUUUUCCUUCUUGUUUCCUUGUAAUGAACAAGGAUAAAGAUCUUGCCGCUGAAUGGUGAUGAAGCUCUUACUGCUGAACCACGAUGAAGCCGUGAAGCUCUGGUUACUGGACGGCUGUGAAUUAGGGAUAACGUUCGAUUUGAUGAUUUUUUUAUUUAAUCGAGUUGAUGAGUUUUAUUUAUCAUCUUAACUCGAUUUGAAAUUUUUUCGAAUCGAGCUGAGUGAAAUAAAAUUUGAGUUGAGUCGAAUUGAGUAAAAUUGUUCGAGUUAAAUUAAAAAAGUAAACAUGUCAAAUUAAUAUCUUAUUAUCAUAUAACUAAUUCUAUUUUAGAAUAUAUAAAUUUGAAAUCAUAUAUAUUUGAAAACUCUUUCAAAGCAAAAUAAGAGAAAAAUUAAUAAAUUUGAAUUGUUAAUUUACUUAUUUAGGUCCCAAAAUUAAUUUUUUUAGAUUUUUUAAAACUUUUUUAUAUAUUCUUCAAUUUUUUUUAGAAUUUUUAUUUUUUAUAUUCUUUUAAAUAUAAACUUUGGAAUUCUUAUAAUUAUUUGGAUUUCUAAAAAUCAUUUUGAAUUUUUUGAAUUUUUAAAAUUUUUUUUUGAGAGAGACCAAUUUGUUCGUUUUCAAAUUUGAGCAGGAAUUAAAGGAGCAUUUACAUUAAUUUUUUAUUUGACUUAUUCGAAUUGUAAAGUUCAACUCGACUCAAACUCGAAACUCGAAUUACUUAUUCGAGUUGACUUUAAAAAAUCGAAUAACUCAAUUUGAUUAACUCAAAAAUCAAAUUCUUUUUAGAUUUUUUUCAAGUCGAAUCAAGUUUUGUUCACCUCUACCGUGAACAAAUGACUCAAUAAAUCUCAUUUAUCAAAUGUAUCAUUCAUAUAAUAUUCCAUCAUAAAAAAUUUAGAAAAAGACCAAACUACCCUUAUGGGUCAAAUUACCAUUUUACCCUUUUAUGUCAAGCACAAAUUCCUCACAAUCAAUAGUUACUAACCAACUCAAAUUCCAUAAUUCUCGCUUAAUAAAGAUUCUUAAUUGGUUAAAAUUACAUUUUUACCCAUUACUCGAUAAAAAUAAAUAAUUUAUAAUUUAAUCCUUACACUAUGAAAAUUUUCUAAUGUGGCCUAGAAGUGAUUUUCAUCAUAUGGAUAUAUAUUCCAAAUUAUUUUCAUGCCAAGUAAUAAAUAAUAAUUCACAUUUUCUCUUUUUGCUUGAUUUUACACUUUAUUAAUUAGUUUUCAUUAAUACUAUAGGAAAAAAGUCUGAAUCAUUAAUACAACCCGACGAAACAUUUUCACUUUGUGAGCUUUGUCAUCAUCACUUUUUUGGACACUCGAUGUGUUCUUUUUGCAGCCAUCUGGGCCAUGCUUUCAAGUAUCAUUGGAAUGAUGCACAAGGUUCAUUAUCUAUGUAUACUUAUUCUUGGAUCAAAAUACUUGUCUCCCUCGAAAUUUGAGACGGUUUAGAUAAAAAUAAGAUAAAUUAUUAAAAUAAUUAUUUUUGUUUAUUUUAGAUUAUAUUUAGUUAUUUAUGUUUUAAAUGUUACGUUUUAAUUACUUACGUUGUAAUAUUUUAGUUAUUGAGCCAUUAAUUAUCGUUAACGAUAUAACGGUAAGCUGACAUUACACGUUAAACCAUAACUUCAAACAAAAAUUUUAGGUUAAUUUAUUCAAUUAGUUCCCACAUUUUUUCGUUUUUGAGAAAUUUAAUUUUUUCUUUUAUGUUUCUUUAACUUUUAUUUUUUUUCUUUAUUUUUCAUUCUCUUUUACUUCUCUCUCUGUUUUCCUCCUUUCUUCAUUUCUUUAUUUUUUGAACAAUUUAAUUUUUUUGAGUGAGGCGAGCAUGUGGACUAGUUUUAAAUAAAGAAGGAAGGAAAAUAGAGGGAGAAGCAUAAUAGAAUAAAAAAAGAAGAAGAGGAAAGUUAAAAGAACAUAAAAGGAAAAAAUUAAAUUACUCAAAAUGAAAAAAAUAUAGGUACCAAUUGUAGAAUUUAACCUAAAAUUUCCGUUUAAAAUGAUGAUUUAAUGUGCUAUGUCAGAUUAUCUUACACCGUUAACGAUAAUUAACAGCUUAGUAACUAAAAUGUUACAACAUGAUAACGUAAGUGAUUAAAACGUAACAUUUCAAACAUAAGUGACUAAAAUGUAACCUGAGGUAAACAAAAACAAAAGUGAUUAUUUUAAUAGUUUACACAUAAAAAUAUUCACCUCGAAAAAUAUGGGUUGGGCUUAGGCUUGAACAUUCAAGGCAUGAUUCAAGCCUGAGCCCGGCUCGACUCAUUUUUUUAAGUUUGUGAUGUUUUAUAUUAUUUUAUUUAUAUAUAUUAUGUAAUUUAUAACACAAAAUUUAUUCAUACAAUAUAAAAAUUAAACAAAUGUUAAGAUGAGUUAUAUAUAAAAUUCUAAUAAAUUAAAAAUAUAUAUAAUUAUUAAAUCAAAUUAAAAUAAUAUAAAUAUAAAAUUUUUUUUUUAAAUAUGGGCAAGCCUAAAAUAGACUUGAGUUAAUUAUUUACAAAUGUGAAUAAAUUUAGAUAAAAUUUUAGAUCAUAUUUUAGAUUAAGUUAGACUUAAACAAAUAUAAAAUAUAUUAAUAUGAUGUCUAAAAGUAAGUUCUACCCAUAAACACAUCUAAUCUACUGCGAAUGUAUUCAUACUCCACUGCCUGCAAUGAUGCUUUUCAAUGGCAAAACUAACCCAUGUUGUAAAUUGACAUACACACGCCCGUGAGGAGAAUGGAGGCCAGGUAGGUUCUAAAGAGUGUUGCAGUAGGAAAACAUAUUUCAGGGGAAGUCUUACAAGGAAAAGGAUUAUACAAAUGAAAUGAUGACUGUCUAAGAGUUUAAUGAGACAAAACAAUGACAUGUCUCCACAGCAUAAUUUCAAGCCACAGGCCAACGGUUGCACGUUCAAGCCUCUACAUGAACUAUUCAACGGCUUCUUGAAGAGAAUAUAAUUUCAUAUCCUUUAAUCGAAAACUACACCACUAGUAAGAGUAUGCAUUAUACAUUCUCAGAUUGUCGAGUCAAUGGGCAUACCACCCGUUAAAUCACAAAGCAAAAUUUAUACAAGUCAACUAUGAAUAAAAAUAUCAUCCACCAGCACAUUGUUAAAAAAUGGUAGGCAUGAAUUUUAAUAGCCUCACAAGGCAUUGUAUAUUCCCGAAUCAUCGAGCCAAUAACUAUCAGUCGAACUACAAAGUGAAGUUUUGGGGGGGUUUCUUCCUCUCUUCACAUUUCAACCAUCGAAAGCACUUCCCUAUACUUUCCCUUUAUCACUGACGACUAUCCGCCCUUUAAAGGUGACCCAUUCUAAAUUGUCAUCCACUACUUUAUUUGCAACAACUACUACCUGAGGAGACAACGUAGGGAUGGUCUCGAGACAAGGUCACUUUAUGACUUACCUCUUAACUGGGAGAGGACUAUUUUUAUACCCUACCUCAACAUCUAAAAUUGAUUGUUCCAUUUUAAUUAUUUGUGAUUAAAUUACUAUUUUAUGUCCAAAUGAAUUUAUUUAUGCUUAAUUUAUUUUUUACCAAAAAAUAAAUUUUUUUAUUUUUAAUAAUUUAUUAAUUUUAUUUUAACAUUUUUUAACUUCUAAAAAAGUUCUAUAUUCCAAGAUUUUAUAUGCACAAAAAUGUAUAUAAAAAAUUUAAAUAGUAAGUUGAUGUUUUUAAUGGAAAAGGUAACUAAAAAAUAAAAUAUUUUUAGGAUUAUUCAAAGAAAUAAAUCUAUUAUUAUGUAUAUGUAUCAAUAUAUAUUAAUAUUGAAUUUACUUUCUCUUUUUUUUGCUUCUAAAUUUAAAUUGGUUGGUUUCUUUUGUAACACCCCUAUACCCAAUUUGAUUACCGGAUCAAGUAUAGUGUUACAUUAGUUUUCAAAAACUCUAAUAAUAAUAUUUUAAUAAAAAUAUCAUUAAAAUUUGUACAUAUUAAUUUCGUUGCUCUAGUAUAUUGAUUAUUGAUAUUCGAAAUAAGCCGAAAUAAAAAUUUUCAACCAUUUCUACAUUUAGAACAAUAUACUAAAGUGAAAGAAGGGCCAUUGUGAAAAGUAAGGAACGUGACUGUGUGGAUUUUAGUAACCAUGUUUAAAUUUGAAAUUCAAGGGAUAAUUUGCCAAAUUAAUUCCCAAAGUUUACCUAGUUUAACCUUUGUUCACAUCUCAAAAUUUAAGCCAAUUUAAUUCAAAUAUAAAUCGUAAUUAAUUUUCUUAUAUUACUUAAUUAACAUUUAAAUUAUUUCACAUAAAUUAAGUAAACAUCGAGCUUCACAUUUAAGUCUCAUCACAUUCAACCUUAAUACACACACCUAGGUACAUGCCAUUUACUGUAACAACAAAAAUUAAUACUUUACCCCUUUUUCGGAUCCAUUGAUGUGAUGAGAUGAGGUGCCUUCAAUCUUCAAAGAUCCAUUUUUCCUCUACUUUUAACCUACGUGUAUAAACACGAGUUAAGUUAUUGCUAACUUAGUAAGUACGACUAAUAUUUAGAUUAUAAUCUAUAUUAUAAAUUAUGACUUAUUUAUUAUUACUACAGAGAAUCAUUUAAAUGACCUGUUUAUAUUCAUCAUACAUAAUUUACCAAUCGAUUCACUUAUUCUUACAAUUAAGUCCAAUUUUAUUAUUAUUUACUCAUUAAACACCAACUAAACAUAUUGAUUUAAUCAUCAUAUAUAUAUAAUACUAGAAUCACAUGAUUUAUUUUAAAUUUUCAUUUAUUCCAUUUAGCUAAAAUUUCUGAUAAUUUACUUUACUUAUUUCAACCAUAUAUUUUCUUAUUUUUCUCAAUUUCAAAUUUUCAACACAUAAAAUCUAUAUAAUUCAAUAAUCACUAAAAUAGUUUUGUACCUUUUUCAGAGGCCCAGUAGACUUAAUAGAACACAUAGGAUAUAUGAAACAGAACAGAACACCACCAAAAUGUAACUUGUCUCAAUAUUUAAUAAUCUUCCAUAAUUCCUCUAAUAAUUCUUAUUAUACAUUUCACCUAUCACUUUUACUUAUUUUACAAUUUAUACCUCAUCAUGACAUUUCAUGUAACAAUAUUUUUUUCUUUCAAUUUCGUAUAUAACAUAUUUCAUUUCUCUAUUUAACUUCCAUAUUCCACCAUAAUUUCUUAUCACAUUCACAUGUUGUUUUCAUUUUAUUUUAUUUUCUAAAUUUUGUCUUUGAGGCAUCAAAUCCACAAAUAGAAUUUAUAAUUCUCGUUUCACCAAUUAAUAUAAUUUCCAUAAUUCAUCACUAAUCUUUAUUAAUUCUUUCUUUUUCAUGUUAUUUUAUGCUUUUAACAGACUAAUCAUUGUCUUUCAUUUUUUUUAAUCAAACAUCUAUACAUUAUUUCACGUAUUUCUCUUCACAUUUACUUACAUAAAUAUAUAGUUCCAUCAACUUUUACAUCCUCUAGAAUUUAGUAUUUUUUUUAUGCACUCUAAAUCUUUUCUCACAUCUCUUUCAAUUUCUUUAUCACAUAUUACUUAAUAAAUACAAUCAAUUCAUUAUUUAUUAUAUUUAAUCAUUAUCAAGUCUUAUUCUUCACUUAUUCAACUUAUAACUUUGUAAUUAAAUACCAUAUUAAAAUUAUAUUCAUUCUAACAAUUAACUUCAUAAUCGAGACAAGUAAGAAUCAAGUUGUACUUACAACUCAAAAUAUGGAAUCAAGCUUUCUUCCUCCUUUAGCUCCUCAUUUGCUUUAAUUCUCUACUUGUUUCUCACUUCCCUUCACUUUUUCUCCAUUUUUCCAUAUCAAAAUACACAAUAUUUACACAUUAAAAUCAUAUUCACAUAUCAUAUUUUAUGUUUUUCAAAUAAAACCAACAUGUAUUUCAAGAGAAGUUUAACUUUCUUACCUUAAUCACUUGUAUUCAACACUAAUUCUUAUUUUCUCUCUCCUCCGAGACAAGUAUGGGUGCAUUUCGUUUAACAGUUGGGUAAUUAUUACACUUCUCUACUAAUUUUACUCAUUAAUCUUGAAGAAAUUUGGAAGAAACAAACUGAAGCACCAUGGCUAAUGGCUUUUAUAGCCCUUUUUUUUUUAUCAUUUUCUUUCUCCAUUUGUUUGGACUUCUCCAUCAAUUUAUCUAUACAAAAAUCUUUUUAUUUUAUUUACCAUCUUGCUCUUUCCACUUAAUUACAAUUAAGCUAUUACUUUUUUAUAAUUAUCUUUUUAAUUCUUUUACCAUUUUACCCUUUCACUUUUUCUAUAAUAACACCCAUGUGUCCUAUUUCCUUUGGUAUAUUUUCACCUCUAGUCUUUCCUCCUUUUUCAUCAAUUUAAUUUAAUCCUUCAACACUCAAUUUUCUCACCUUGUCCCAAUACUUUCCAUUAAUUUAAUUGUUUCCCAAAGUAAAUUUAUAUUAAUAUUUAUACUUUUCCAAAUAUCUUAUGCAGCUAUCUUUUAUGUCUCAUAACUCUUUAAAUUUUCAAUUUAACUUUCCUCAAAAUUUUGACAAAUUUAUUGUAUAUUUAUCACUGUUCAAGACUCUAAUUUUUUUUGAGGAUAUUACAUCUUUAGCUUUACUAAAUAUAUUAUUAUCACAAAUUUUAAUGAUUUUUCAAUUCAACUAACAGCAAUUUAAUGUUAUUUCAAUUUCAAUUACAUACUUUGUAUUUCAUAAUAUUUGUUAUUAAGAUGGGUAUAUAUAUGGGUUUCUUUUUAUAUUCAUUCUAGAUAUUAUUCUAUGUUUAAAUUAGAUAUGAGGUUUCGAAUUACACUUUUAUUAUGACGAGUAUAGAUAUAUUUCACUUAUAUGAUUUAAUAUAUUCAUGGCAUAUUCUACAAAAUUAUAACAACUUUUUGUAAGGUAAAAUAGUAUUUUAUCUAAAAAAAUAGUCAGGGUAUCUACCCUCGGUAGUAUUGAUUAAUUCUUUCGGCACGGGUGUUCUUCGAAGAGGUAAACCCCUAUCCCAAUGGAAAUACAUGGUAACAUAAAAACCAGUGAGAGAGACUCAUGAGCAAUUAUCUUUCUUGUACCGUCCAGUUGAUCACUAAGUGAUCAACUAUCUCUCCCCCCCACCUCACAAAAGAAACAGUCCAUCCUUGACCACCUGGUUGAGUCCUCUGUUAAGCCAUCCGUUAUUAAUAGGUGCACUCUCCUCAAGAGGGGAUCACUUGAGAACCAUCACCUCUCCUAUAAAUACCCCCAAAGCACAAUAUAGAAAGAGGUCUCUCCUUUCUUUCCAACAAAACCUAAAAGUCCAAGUCAUCAUCCUCACCCCUUGAUUCUCUCUUUCACUCUCCUACUUUUCCGACUCUAAGCCUCGGCGUGGGUGAACCGACCUUCCUUGUUGAUAUCUUAUAUCAAGAAUAGUGCAGUGAGCAUGGAUUGAAUUUACUUGUUCCAGCCAAGAACAUAAUAAAUCUAUCUCCAUCACUCCUUUUCCCCUCUUUUUCGCUGUUUGCUUCAUUCCCUGCAUUUUUCAUUUUGAUUUUCCUUUGAUGGUUUGUAUAAUUUCGUCCCUACAAUUGCUUUCUUUGAGCUCUUUCAUAAUGAUCCGCAAGUUAAUGCAUGGUUGGAUCGUGUAUGUUGUUUGGUUUCUUAUUUGAUAGUGUUGUAAGCUUGAUAUGUUUAGAAUUUAGAAUGCUUUAGUUGAUGACUAAACUCAAUGGAUAUCCCCUCCAUUUCCUUUUCACUAUAACCCACUAUCCCUGUCGCAGGUCAGAUCUUUCUUUUCCUUUACAUACACAUAUAUUUAUGUGUAUAAUAUGUUUCAGUCAUCGGGGGUGUCCAACACCUACCCCUCUCGUUUAUAUUUUAUCUAAAUAAAAAAAAUAUAUUAAAGACUCCCGCGGGAGGUGUCCCACGGAAUUAGAGAAGCACGGAGGGUGGCUACACCCUCCAUCUACAUACAAGCAUAUUAAUAAUACAUGUAUAAUAGAAGAAUAGCAAUAGCAAUCCCAUGAAGCGGGGUUUAAGGAACCCCACAAAGGGUCACAUAUACACAUGCAUGUAUUUAUAUUUUAUAAAUAAUAAUAAAAGUUGUUAAAAAGAAACCACGAAAGGUCACCAUGGAGAAAUUUGAAGUAGAGAUGAGCAUGAACCCAAGCAUUAUCAAAUGAUAGGUGAGCUAAUUCCCAUGUUUAUAUUUAAAAGAAAUGAUAACAAGUGAUAAUUAAAGACCAACAAAAGGUCCAAUUGGGGGUAUACCCUCACUUGCAUGUGUUUGCAUGUGUAUAGGUAUUAAAAAAAAGAGUUGAUGGCCGAUUAAGUCUUAACUUGAUUAACAUCGAUAUUAUUGUCAGUGGAAAAAAUAUAAAUUCAAAUGUGCUGAAUCGAAUUAUCACAAGUGAAAGUGGGGCAUGAACCCACCAUCUGUUCCUCAUAUAUAUGUGUUAUAAAAAAAAUUAUAUAUUGAAAGUGACAUUGCGGUGGGGUUUAAACUCCACGGGAGUGUUCAACAUCCCCAUACCCACGAAGGAUUACCUCUAAAGACAGAAUUUCCCAUUCAUGUAUGUGUAUAUUUUAUUUGUUAAAAGAAAAUAUAGGGUAAAGCAAGGAGAACCUACGAGGGGUUCCCUCCAUAUGAAUAAUAUAUCAUGUAUAUGGUGGUAAGAGAAAGUGUCCACGAAUGGUUAGUGAGCACGGAUUGUUCCCAUGAGAUGUAUCGGUACGCAUGUAUAAAAAAAAAGAGAGUCGCGUAAUAUCGCAAAAGAAAGGCUAAAAGUUUAAGAAAAGAAACCCAUGGUGGUCAUAUCUACCGCCUACAUUUAUAUUAUAUUUAAAAAUUCUACAUAUUCAUCAAGUGGUAAAUCAGUUUUUAUUUACAUAAUUUUUUUAUAUUAUUAUUUUUUAUUUGGUAAGUUUUGCUCAAUAUAGGAGAGCUCAACACGAUAUUAAUCAUGUAAAUUCAAAGUGAGUAGAUUUGGUUGAUAGUUGUGAUUCAAUGCGGUAGAAUUUCACUUUCCACGUAAUUUUUGGUUGCAAGAGCAACAGUAGUGUGAUCGUCAUAUGAUUCCAUAAGCCUCUCCUAUGUGUGGGAGCAAGACAUUUAUUACUUUUCACGUACUUUCGAGCUGUGAGAGCUGAUGGUGGCUUUUGAUCAACAUUUAGGCCCUUUCAUGAACCAUUCAACAGCUCUCUGCAUAGGCAAGGCAUAUCUCCAACCAUCAACAUUUGGGCUCUUCCAUGAACCAUUCAACAACUCUCUAUAGAGGUGAGGCAUAUCUACAAAAAUCAAAAUUCGAGCCGCUUUGCGAAUCAUUCAGUAGCUCUCCGUGGAGGUGAAGUGCAUCUUCAAAAAUCGACACACAAUACCCUCCCACAAGUACGGUAACAUCCCAAAAAUUUUUGGAGUCUUGAACAAUGAUAAAUAUACAAUAAAUUUGUUGAAAUUUUGAGAAAAGUCAGAAAUUAAAAAUUUAAAGAGUUAUGAGACAUAAAAGAUAGGUGCAUAAUAUAUUUGGAAAAGUAUAAAUAUUAAUAUGAAUUUAUUUAGAGAUAAAUAUUAAUAUAAAUUUAUUUGGAGAAACGAUUAAAUUAAUCGAAAGCAUUGGGACAAGAUGAGAAAAUUGGGUGUUGAAAUAUUAAAUUAAAUUGAUGAAAAAGGAAGAGAGACUAGAGGUGAAAAUAUACCAAAGGAAAUAAGACACAUGGGUGUUAUUAUAGAAAAAGUGAAAGGGUAAAAUGGUAAAAGAAUUAAAAAGAUAAUUGUGAAAAAGUAAUAGCUUAAUUGUAAUUAAGUGGAAAGGGCAAAACGGUAAAUAACAUAAAAAGACAUUUUUGUAUAGAUAAAUUGAUGGAAGAAACUAGAGAAAUGAAGAAAAGAAAGGAUGAAAUGGCUAUAAAAGGCACGUCAGCCACAAUUUUUACACCAUUUCAACUUUUAUUUUUCUUUCAAUUUAGUCCUUUUCGUCAAAUACAAAUCAAUUAAGCUAGUUUCUUCUGAAUUUUUUCAAGAUUAGUGAGUGAAAUUAAUAGAGAAGUGUAGUAACUACUCAACUGUUAAAAGAAAUGCAUCCAUACUUGUCUCAGAGGAGAGAGAAAAUAAGAAUUAGUGUUGAAUACAAGUGAUUAAGGUAAGAAAGUUAUACUUCUCUUGAAAUACAUGUUGGUUUUAUUUGAAAAACAUGAAAUAUGAUAUGUGAAUAUGAUUUUAAUGUGUAAAUAUUGUGUAUUUUGAUAUGGAAAAAUGAAGAAUAAGUGGGGGGAAGUGAGAAACAAGUAGAGAGUUAAAGCAAAGGAGGAAGAAGAGGAAGAAAGCUUGAUUCCAUAUUUUGAGUUGUAAGUACAACUAGAUUCUUACUUGUUUUGAUUAUGAAGUUAAUUGUUAAAAUAAAUAUUGUAGAAGCCCAAAUUUGCCCAGGCCCUACCAGCAAAAUAACACCAACCCACAAGCCCAAUUACAACCCAAACCCGAGGCCCAAAUUCGGAGCCCAAUUUCCCAAAAAAAACCCCAACUAGGGUUUCAGAAAAAUGAAACCCUAGCCAAGCCUAGCGCCGCACCCAUCCCUCUGCCGUUUGCCUUGUCCCAUCGCCACCCACCGUGCCUAGCUUCAUCAACACCUGCAAAAACAGAGCAGACACGCAAAAAGCAGCAACAAAUAAUAGAAAUAUAGAAAUAGAUGAGAUAUAAAAGCAAAAAAUAUGAUCUUUGUAACAACAACAACAACUGAAAUAAAAAACAAAAAAGGUUGACUCCAUUUUCUUUCUCUGUUCUUACAUUGCUAUUUUAUUUUAUUUUAUUUUUUGUUUGUUUGAUUCCUUCUUUAUAACAAAACGAAAAAGAAAAGAAAGGGGAUACUCACCGGUCUCGAAAGCCCGUCGCCGGAGACCACCUUCGGCGUUGGAAUCGGACUAAAAGGGAGUACAAAAAACCCCACCUUUUCUGACUUUUCGGGACUAAAAGGAUAUUUUUUAGAAGGGUCGAGAUCGGGGUUCUAAAAAACGACUUUUGGGUACCCCGACCACCGCCCGCGAAGGCCGACGGCGAUCCCCACGCCGAAAUCUGGGCAAUGCCCAAUGAAGCUAAAACAAAGUUUUUAACUCCCUUUUUUGAAACAAAUCUGCUGAAAUGAAAAAAAAUAAUUUUUUUGGCUUUUAUACUGUUGGCCAAACGGCAGCGUUUUGGGGUGGGCUCUCCAGGUGCAAAAUGACGCCGUUUAGGAGCUGACCCAAACCGACCCGACCCAGGCCGCCUAGGAUCCGCGUGUUUCUGCGGUGAGGGGAUAUUUAUGCGCGAGAUCCUUCCUCUUUUGCGCCUUAAUGCAAUCUGGUCCCUUUUUGUUUUUUAAUUUAGCCGUAUAACUUUACUUUUGUUCCAUUUUAGUCCCGCUCAAAGUGCUGCGUUUCGGGGCUUCGGGGUAUUUACCAUUUUGGUCCUCCCUUUUUUCGCGCAUAUUACAUCUUGAUCCUUUAUUCCGUUUUAUUUUUGAUUUCAGCCCUGAGAUUUCGUUCCCGUUUUGAAUUAGUCCUAUUAUUAUUAUUAUUAUUAUUAUUAUUAUUAUUAUUAUUACCUAUUUAUUUAUAUUGAUUCUAUUUAAACUUCUGGUACAUAUAUAUAUUUUACAACUUAUGUAUCUAUCUAUAUCUAUAUACGUAUUUUCAUUUUCAUAAAUACAUACAUAUUCAUAUAUGAUCUUUAUAGUCUAAAAUACAUCCUUUUUUAUAUAUUUUUUUAAAUCCGCAUGUACAUACACAUUUUCAAUAUAUUUUUAGUAUGUAUAUCAAUUAACGUAUUUAUUUGUAUACAUAUAUAUAUUUUCAUUAGUUUUAAACUUUAUUUUUGUACAUAUAUUCUUUUUCUUUUAUUUUACAAUAUAUACAUAUACACUUACUUUUUAUAUGUAUUUCUCUAUCUUCGUAUUCCAUAGUUUUAUACACCUAUAUGCACAUAUUUUUUAUAUAUACGCAUAUUUAUUUAUUUUAUAUAAAAUAUACUUAUUAUUUUGUUAAUUCAUGUAUACACAUAUCUUAGUUCAUGUCUAUAUAUAUCUUUUUAUACUUAAUUGUAUUUGCUAUUUAUUUAUUUCAUUUUUGUUAUUAUUUUGAAUGAAUAAUUUAACUUUAUUCGUUUUUUUAUUUUGUUAUUUUGUAUGUUGUAAGUUUGAUCGUUCAUAUUGAUUGCUAUUGCUUGCAUCGUUUUUAUAUUUUCAUGUUCAUUAUGAUUUUUCCAUGCAUAAAUAAUGUAAUUUGCUUUCACUAUGAUUUUGUGCUUUAUUUUUACUCGAUAUAACAAAAUUUACUUAUUUUUAAUGGCAUUUCGUGUUUGGAUUCGAGAAAAUCGUGCCCUAACUUACUGGGUUUUGAUUUUCUCGAUAAAUCUAAAUGCACGAAUCUUUUUAAAUUCAAAUUUUAAAUGAUCUCGGGAUUAAAAAAUUGCGUCCUAACUUACUGGUCGUGAUCUCAUUUUAAAUCCGAGAUGGCUAAAAUAUCUUUUAAAUAAGCUUUUUUUUAUUCGUGCCGAGAAUCUGAGACAUUGUAUUCUAACUUACUGGAUAUGAUUCUCUUUCUCGAUCAACGUGAAAUAUACUUCUUUUUCCAAAAAUUUUCAUUUCAAUACGAGGAUCAUAUUUUUUAAUUCUUUCAAGUUCUCAAUUUUCGACAUCAAGAUAUUAGAUAAUCAGCUAGGUACCAAUUUUUGGGCGGUACGAGGGUGCUCACCCUUCCUCGUACGUAACCGACUCCCAAACCCGUUUUCUGGAUUUCGUAGACCAAAAUCGUUGUUUUAAUAAAAUUAAAUUAUUUAUUAAAAACAAUUUCUUUCCAAGGUGGCCCAAUCACACCUCGAAAAGGAUUGGUGGCGACUCCCUUUUUUAAAACCCAAGUCGACCCCGUUUUUCAUCAAAAAAAUGGUGUCUACAAAUAUAAUUUUAAUAUGGUAUUUAAUUACAAAUUUAUAAGUUGAAUAAGUGAAGAAUAAGGCUUGAUAAUGAUUAAAUAUAAUAAAUAAUGAAUUGAUUGUAUUUAUUAAGUAAUAUGUGUUAAAGAAAUUGAAAGAGAUGUGAGAAAAGAUUUAGAGUGCAUAAAAAAAAUACUAAAUUCUAGAGGAUGUAAAAGUUGAUGGAACUAUAUAUUUAUGUAAGUAAAUGUGAAGAGAAAUACGUGAAAUAAUGAUAUAUGAAAUAAUGUACAGAUGUUUGAUAAUAAAAAAAUGAAAGACAAGGAUUAGUGUGUUAAAAGCGCAAAAUAACAUGAAAAAGAAAGAGUUAAUAAAGAUUAGUGAUGAAUUGUGAAAAUUAUAUUAAUUGGUGAAACAUGUUACAUGUAUUAAAAGAAUUAUAAAUUCUAUUUGUGGAUAUGAUGCCUCAAGGACAAAAUUUAGAAAAUAAUAAUAAAAAUGACAUGUGAAUGUGAUAAGAAAUUAUGGUGGAAUAUAAAAGUUAAAUAGAGAAAUGAAAUAUAUUAUAUACGAAAUUGAAAGAAAAAAAUAUUGUUACACGAAAUGUCAUGAUGAGGUAUAAAUUGUAAAAUAAGUAAAAGUGAUAGGUGAAAUGUAUAAUAAGAAUUAUUAGUGGAAUUAUGGAAGAUUAUUAAAUAUUGAGACAAGUUACAUGUGUUAAUAAAAAAGGAAUAUAUAAUUAUACGAAGUAUUGUUAUAAGGAUUAAAUGGUAAAAAAUGUAAAAGUGACGUGUGUAUAUUAUGAAUUGCCCAAGUAGACGAGAUAAAAACUAUGGGAUGUUAGUGGCAUGCCAUUAAAGAACCCUAGCGCGCUCUCUGGUUAUUAGAACGUUAGUGCUCUCUGAUUAUUAGCACGUCAGUGCUCAUUGAUUAGCACAUUUGUGCUAUCUGUUCAUCUGUUUCGGCGGUGUUCUAUUCUGUUUCGUAUAUCUUGUGUGUUUUAUUAAGUCUACUGGGCCUCUAAAAAAGGUACAAAAUUAUUUUAGUGAUUAUUGAUUCAUAUAGAUUAUAUGUGUUGAAAAGUUAUGAAAUUGAGAAAAAAAAAGAAAUAUAUGGUUGAAAUAAGUAAAGUAAAUUAUCAGAAAUUUUAGCUAAAUAGAGUAAAUGAGAAUUUAAAAUAAAGCAUGCGAUUCUAGUAUUAUAUAGAUGAUAAUUAAAUCAAUAUGUUUAGUUGGUAUUUAAUGAGUAAAUAAUAAAUGUGGACCUAAUUGUAAAAAAAUAAGUGAAUUGAUUGGUAAAUUAUGUAUGAUGAAUAUAAACAGGUAAUUUAAAUGAUUCUGUGUAGUGAUAAUAAAUAAGUUAUAAUUUAUAAUAUAUAUUAUGAUCUAAAUAAUAGUUGUACUUACUAAGCUAGCAAUAGCUUAAUGCAUGUUUAUACCCGUAGGUUAAAAGUAGAAGAAAAUAAUCUUUGAAGAUUGAAGGCACAUUGUAACACCCCUUAACCCUAAACCGUUACCAGAACAGGGUUACGAGGCAUUACCGGACAUAUCAAACAAUUUACAAAUAAUUUUUAAAUAAAUAACCAAUAUAUUAAAAUAAAUCAUAAAUUCAUAUAAAGUUUAAUAAUUGAUUACAUUCAUUCUUUUUUUUUAUAAAAAUUUCGACAGUAUUUCUGCUUAUUUUUACAUAUAACCCCCUGUAAAAAUUUCAAGCAUAACCAACCCAAUUCCAGUAUUUCAACCAAAGCAUUUAUAUACUUAAAUCUUACUUGACAUAUUGACAUAAUAACUUAAUUAAUAAAAGUCUUAUUAUCAUUUCUAAUUAACACAUAAAACUAAUCAAGCCAUUUCAAUUUGAUACCAAUGCCAUAAAGGACUUCUACCAUUUUACUAACGUAAUCAUCAAAACACAUAAUAUCUUACUUUACAACAAAACUAUAUAACAUACCAAAAUAACUAUUAUAAUUCUUAUGUACAUGCCACUUUCAAUUAAGGAAGAAGACAUCACCAAAAUCUCUAUGUCAGAGUCGGGAUUGUCCUGGAUGCUGAACCGAGACUCUGACCCCUUUUCGACCUACGCACGGAAACAACCGUACGCUGAGUAUUUUAUACUCAGUGGUAUUACCAUAAUUCAAAUUAUAAUAGCAAUAAAGAAUUAUAAUUACCAAGCAUGUAACUAUUCAAUUUCUUAAAUAAAAAUUAAUUCAUAAACUUUUAUUAUUUAACAAUAACAAUACAAUUUUAGCUAUUCUUCAAUCUCAAUCACAUAUCACAUGUAGCAAUUUCAAUCACUACAUAAACAUUAAAUUCAUGCCUUUCAUUUUCAAUAUCAAUUUCAAUCUGCAAAUUUUAAAUUUUCUCAUAUUCAAUACCACAAUCGAUCAAAUUCAUUUGAUUUUCUCAUUUUAAUUAUUCACCCUAUUAACAAUCUGGACUUUGAUGGAUACACGGAUUCCAACCUAAACACACCAGUACGGCACAUUGUGCCUAAAAUGAUACAUAGUACUUGAUGAGUAUACGACACAUAAGUGCCUGAAACGACACACGAGGUGCCUGAUAUACGACACAUAAAGUGCCUGAUCGGCAAGGCCGAUGAAUCCCGUACUCAUCCAAAUCCUAUGGCAUGCCAACUAUAUCCGACUUAGCCCGACUAGUUAAUAGUGUAUAUAAAUCUCACAAUCUAAUUUUCACUUUUGAUUUCAAGAAUUCAUUUUCAAUAUUAAUUAUACUUUCUUUCUUUUUUUUUUUCCAUUCACUAAUUAAAACACAGUUCAAUACCAACACAUACUUUUCUUAUUCAAUUUUUUUUUUUCAAAUUCAAUUCAAUAAAGUCACUUACCUUAUUAUAUGCUUACCAUACACAUAAUUUAAAUUUAACAUCAAAUAAUAAAUAAUUUGAAUUAUAGUAAUACAAACCCGAAUUUUGCUCGAUUAUUCCUCAAUAUAACCUUCUCCUUUUCUUUGUGUGUCGAUGCCUCGAGUUCUUUGUUAGCUACGAAAAUAAUAAUAAUUUACACCAUCAAUUACAACUUUAAUUUAUAAUAAUAAUAGAAUUUCUAUCUAAUUUAUACUUUAAUUCCAAUUUAAUCCUAACUAAAUUUAUUUACUUUCUAAUUUAAUUCACCCUCUAUUUCUAUUCAAAUUUAUUCUAAACUCAAAUUUAACUACCAAAUUUUCAGCAUAUUUCAUUAAUUUCGAAUUUUCCUCAAUUUAAUCCCUACAAACAUAAAACUUAUAGCUUACUUCACAAUUUAAUCCUUUUACAACUCUAACUAGAAAUUCUAUCAAAUAAACCCUCAAUUCCAUCAUUUAUUCAACAUAAACCCUACUAUAAAAAAUCUAUUAACUUAUAAAUUUUCAACUUAAAUCCAAGAGUAUUUCACUCUAGGGUUCCAAAAAAAACAUCAAAUUUAUGAGAAAAGGACUUGAUUUAGCUUACCUAUUAAACUUCAAGCUUCAAAAUCUCAAUUUUUCCCCUUUCUUUUCUUUUCCCUUUUCUUCCCCUGUUUUCGUCUCUUUCUCUGUUUCUAUUUCUUCUUUUGUUUCUUUUAUUCUAUUCCUUUUAUGCAUUAGUUAAUAAUAAUAAUAAUAAUAUAUUAUAAUAUUAUUUACUUAAAUGAUAAGUAAAUAUGUAAUAAUUACUAAUACAUGUAUUUCAUUUUUCCACAUGUCUUCAUUUGCACCAUACAUUUGUCAACUUUUUUUAUUUAAAAUAUAAUAAUAAUAAUUUAAUAAUAUAUUUUUAACACAAAAAUUUUAGAUUUUUUAUGCUUAUGCCGCCUAAUCUUAAGCCAUUGGCUUAUUUAUCUAUUUAGUCCCUCUUAUUUUAUUUUAAUCUAUAAUUAAACUUUCACUUCUAUUGUAACUUAAUCCUUUUUACUAAUUACUCUUAAUUAAGCUAAAUUCACCUAUCUAAAACCUAAUUAAACACACAACUAGUUUAGUAAAUAAAAAAAAUAUUUCUAAUAAUUAUUUUCGAACUCAAUUUACUAAGAUGGAGGCCUGAUAUUAUACUUUUCCGAUGCCCUUGAAUUUUUGGGUCAUUACACACCUCAUCUCAUCAUAUCAGUGGAUCCGAGGAAGGGGUAAAGUAUGAAUUUCUGUUGUUUCAAUAAAUGGCAUGUACCUAGGUGUGUGUAUUAAGGUUGAAUAUUAUGGGACUUAAAUGUGAAACUUGAUGUUGGCUUAAUUCAUAUGAAAUAGUUUAAAUGUUAAUUAAGUAAUAUAAGAAAAUUGGAUUUUUAAAAUGCUUAAUUACGAUUUAUAUUUGAAUUAAAUUGGCUUAAAAUUUUGAGAUUUGAACAAUGGUUAAAUUGGGUAAACUUUAAGAAUUAAUUUGGCAAAUUAUCCUUUGAAUUUCAAACUUAAACGCGGUUCCCUAUUUUUCACAAUGGCCCUUAUUUCACUUUACUAUAUUGUUCUAAAUGCAAGAAUGGUUAAAAAAAAUUAAUUUUGGGUUAUCCCAAAUACCAAUAAAAUAUAUAUAUACUAAAAUAAUGGAACUAAUAUGUACAAAUUAUAAUGUUAUAUUAUUUAGACAUUAUUAUUAUAGUUUCUGAAAACCAAUGUAGCACUUCUAUACUUAAUUCGAUAAUCGGGUUGGGUAUAGGGGUGUUACAAGUACCCUUCCACGAUACCUUCCCAUGAGUACCUUCCCACGAUUACUCCCAAAGUACCCUUCCACGGAACCACCCAAGUUACAGCUCUCACACCCUUCCACUAAGGGUUCAUUUUCAUUCCACUAAGGGUUAAUCCAUCAAGUGGUGGUUCAUCUUAUUAAAUCUGCAUAAUUUCGAAUGGUUGCUAUAGCCUUCGAGGCAAGCCUAAUUUUGAAUGGUCGUUUUACCUUCAAUGUUAGCAUAAUUUUAAAUACCUACAAACAUUUGCAAUGCUUAUGAUGUAAGCACAAUCCUUGUUAGAGUUGUAUAACUCAAAUUCCUGUUAAAGAAAAUAUAGUAGUAAAAUUAAGGGAUCUGGGUAGGGCUUAAGGCCAAGGGCCGAAACUCCUCUUGUGUCAUUCAGUUUUCAACAUUAGUGAAUUUAUUCUCCUCUACCCGUGGUUUUUUCUUGAAAGGGUUUUCACGUAAAAUCUAUGUAUUUUAUUUUUCUUUUCUUUAUGCUUUGUAAUCGUUUUAUAUUACCAUUAUCAACGUUAGUUUUAACAAUUCCAAAUAUUUGUGAAUUGCCACCAUUUUUGUAAGAAGAAAUACAAACAAAUUUUACUUAAACCAAAUUGACCUUACUCACGAUAUAGAAAUCUUACCAUUGAUUUUCGUCUCAGGCAAGGUCAUUUUAUAAUAUUUCCUUCGACUAGGAAAGCGGAGACAGUUUUUAUAGACAUGAAUGUUGACCAUAAUGUAGAUUCCACUAAAACCCCCUACAUAUACCCGUUUUAGGAUCCACUCACACAUUGUUAAAAUGGGUAAACAUGAAUUUCAAUAGCGCAAGGCAUCAUGCAUUCUCAAAUCAUUAGGCUAAAAAUUGCAUCUUUCGUCCUAUUGCUUCAUUUGUAACAACUACCAUUGCAAGGGCAACUUGCAGAUGGUCUCGAGGCACAAUCACUUUAUAACCUAUCUCUCGAUUGGGGGAGGGGACUAUUGUUAUCCCUCUACCCCAAUAAGGACACGUGCAACAUGAAAACCAAUUAGAGAGACUCGCGAACAACCCUUCACCUUGUACCAUUUAGAUGGUCAUUCUAUCCCCCACAUGAAAGGAACUGUCCAUCCUUCACCACCCGGUUGAGUCCUCUGUUAAGCCAUCUGUUAUUAUUAGGUGCACUCUCCUCAAUAGGGGACCACCUAGGAACCAUCACAUCUCCUAUAAAUACCCUCAAAGCACUGUAUAGAAUGGGUGUAACAGUCCGAUUUUAACCCUAAUCAGAAUAGUGGUUUUAGGACCAUAAAUCCUAGUUAGAAAAUAUUUUAAAAUUAUUUUCUGUGUUUAUUAUGUAUGAAUUUACUUGUGUGAAAAUUUUGUGCUUUAAUUUUGUUGUUUGAGUGCCUGAUUAAAUAAAAGGAUUAAAUUGCGUAAAAUAAAAAUUUAGUGGUUAUUUGUAAAAGGGCCGAAUAGUGGUUGUUCUUUAAAUAUGGGGGUUUUAUGUUGCAAUUUGACCAUUGAAAAGAUAGUGGACGACAUUAUGUUUAUAAUAUAUAGUUUUAUUAUUAUUUAUAAAGGUUAUAAUAAUAAUUUGUAUAUUAUAAUGUUAUUAUAAUAAAAACAAAACAUAAGAAAGUGGCCAUAUUCAUUAUCUUUGUGCCGAAUGAAAAGAGAAAGAAAAUAAGAAAACCAAGCUAGGUAUUCGGCCCUUGUUCAAGCAAAUUAAGGUAUGUUUCGGUUUCGGUUUCGGUUUUUGAUGAUUUUUAUGUUUUUGAUAUCGUUGUUUCGAAUACUACUCGACCCAUGCUUAAAUUUUUGAAUUUGAUGAUGAUUUUGUGUUUUUCCAUUGUUGAAAGCUUGUGAUUUUGUUGUUUAAUGAUAAAAAAUAAAAGAUAUGAAAUGGAUAUAUAUAUUGAAAUUGAAUUUUUGAUUAUUUUGAGUAAUUAGGGCUAAAUUGAAAAAAUAAUAAAUUGAGGGACUAAAAUGUGAAAUAAAUGGCAUGCAUGAACUUAUAUGAGCUUAGUGCAUAUUCGGCCAAACUAUUGUGCAAGGAAAGUUUGUUUAUUUUGUAUUUUUGUGAAAUAAGGACUAAUUUGUGAAAAAUGUGAAAUGUUAGGGGCAAAAGUGUAAUUUUCCCAUUUAUGUGUUUUUGGAUUUAAUUGAAUGAAUAUGUGGUUAAAUUAGUUAAAAUUGAACUUAUUUAGAUCAAGAACAGAAGAAAACGAAAUUAGAUCGGGGAAAGUCGAAAGUAGUCGAGUAGUCGACUGUGUCCGUCAAUAUCCGAGGUAAGUCGAUAAGCAUUUAAAUGUUGUUAAAUUCAAGAAUAUAUAAAUGAUAAGUAAUAAAUUAAAUUAUUGUAUUUGUUAUAUGCUUUGGCUGAAUGUGAUUAUCGAGAUACAGAUUUUGUUUCGAGUUUGAUUCGAUUGAUAAUCAACGCCUGAAAGCCUCGUACGAACCCUAGGAAUAGAUAGGAUACUUAUGUCAUGACAUAGUACUCUGAUAUGUGUUUUCGUGUAAGACCACGUCUGGGACGUCGACAUCGACUUGUGUUUACGUGUAAGACCAUGUCUAGGACAUUGGCAUCGUAUUUGAUUCGUGUAAGACCCUAUCAGGGACAGUGGCAUCGAUAUGAGAUAGCAUGUAAGACCACGUCUGGGACGUUGGCAUUGUUCGAUAUAUGUGAUUAUCCGAGUAUCCUAUUAAAUUCCGAAUGGUUCAACGGGCAAUGAUAAGUUGUGAUCGAAGGUGUAAAACGAGCUAAAACGAUCAGGUAUGAGUUAGUUGACUACCUAUAUAAAAAUAAGGUAAGUUGGCCAGUUGGUAUAUGAUACAAAUUAAAUAAGUUACUAAUGUGAACAUAUGUACAUUAGUGGAGUAUAUUCGGCCAUAUGUUAUGUAUAUGCAUAUGAUGUUAUAUUUUGAUUUAAAAUUAUAUGUAUAUGUGUGUAAAUAUAUAUUCGGAUAUAUAAUGAUAUUAUGUCUUUAAAUUGAUUGACACUUUGAAUAUAUAUACAUAUACAUUCGGUUAAGAUAAGAUUUACUUAAGAAAACACAUGUUUUAUAUGAAACGUUAAGCUUGAGGUUAAAUGUGAUUAUGCUAGUGUAAUUUAAUUUGGUUAAAAAAUGAGUUGAUAAUGUAGUUUAUAUUCGGUCAAAAUUUGAUAUGUAAUAAUGAGGUUAAAAAAAUGAGAGCUGCACAUGUGAACGACAUUAUAUAUAUUCGGUCAAAUGUUAAACUUAUGUGUAUUCGGUUAAAUAUGGAUUUGAGGUAUAAUACGUGUUUGAUAAAUGUAUUUUUCGAUUAUGGAAAUGUAUAUGAAUAUUGAAAACAUGAUUUGAUUUUGUUGUAACUAAUUAAAUGUUGUUAAGUUAUCUAUUUGCUUAUGACUUACUAAGCUAUAAUUGCUUACUCUGUGUGUUCUUCUUAUGUUUUUAGAGUUCCAAAGACUUGCUCGGGUUGGAAGACGUUGGAGUCGUGAUCACACUAUCCGGUUAUGGCUUUGGUAAGUUAAAGAUUUGAGUUUUUGGUUAUGUGGCAUGUAUAGGCUAGUUUUAAUUUAGUUUUUGUAUAUAUAUUUAGCCAUGCGAAAAUGGCUUGAUCUAAUGCUAAUGAUCCAAGGUUUAAGUAAUUUUGGUCAUAGUAAAGGCGUGGGGUAUGCUUGGUAUAUGAAUUUGAUAAGACAUAAUGAUAUAUAUAUAUGUAUGGUUUAUAAUUAUUUUAUUUUGGUAAGCUUGAUAUGGACGAUGGAUGUGUUAUGGUUGUGGUUUGUCAAUGAUGCUAAUGAUAGUAAUUUUCGGUCAUGUAUUAGUUUAAUUUGUAAGUAUGAAUUAUGGUCUAAUUUGUGUGAUGGAAUGGUAUUUAGAUUUGGCUUGAUUAAAUAGGUAAAAUAUGAAAUAUAUUGAAGAUGAAAUAAUGGUUAUUUCGAUUUAUGUGAUUUAAAUAUAGGUGAUGGUCAUAAUCUAGUUUGUGAUUUGGCAUUGGUGAUCAAAUCAUGUAGUUAAGUAUUUAGUUAUAUGUUAAUUUUGAAUUUGGUUGUAUUCAUUACGUGUGGACUAUGUUAUGCUAUGAAUAUUGGUAAAUUGAAAUGGUUAAUUUGAGUAAAUUUGUAAUGGCAUGAGUACAUUGGUGAAAUGGAUUGAAAAUGGAAAUUGAUAUAUUAUUAUAUAUUCGGUUGAUGAAUUGUAAACAUGUAUAUAUGUCUUUGAUAAGUUAUUUGAUAAUUCGGUAUGUAAAGGACCAACGGUUUUAAUGCUUGAAUUACAAAAUGUGUUAUAUGUAUACAUAGUGGUAUGAUCGAUUAUGGUAAUUGACUUAUUAUUGUAAGUAUGAAAUAUUUGCAUUGGUAUGUGUUCUUUUAAGUUUAUGAAAUGUUUAUGCCAUUAUUAUGAUUUGACUAUUUAGGCUUAAUAUAGGAUGGCAAAGGUUGAAUGUGAUUUAAAUGUUAUAGAAGUUAAUUUGCAUGACCGAAUUUGCAUGACCGGAUAUAUAUAUAAUAUAUUGAUUUGGGUGUGUAUAUGAAGCAUGUGUAAUAUGGUAAUGCCUUGUAACCCUGUUCUGGCGACGGAUACGGGUUAUGGGUGUUACAAAAGGGGUCUCUCCUUUCUUUCCAACAAAGCCUAAAAGGCCAAGCCAUCACCCUCUCCCCUCGAUUCUCCCUUCCACUCUCCUACUUUUUCGGCUUUCGGCCCCUAUGUGUGUGAAUCAACCUUCCUCAUCACCAUCCCCUUGCAUGACCACAUAUAAAGCAUGUGUAAUAUGACUAUUUUGAGCCGUGUUUUACAUGGUAAUGCCUUGUAACCCUGUUCUGGCGACGGAUAGGGGUUAUGGGUGUUACAAAGGGGGUCUCUCCUUUAUUUCCAACAAAGCCUAAAAGGCCAAGCCAUCACCCUCUCCCCUCGAUUCUCCCUUCCACUCUCCUACUUUUUCGACUUUCGGCCCUUAUGUGUGUGAAUCAACCUUCCUCAUCACCAUCCCCUCCUCUUUCUCUAACCUUGUUGAUAUCCUGUAUCAACAGUUUUGUAUUUAUUGCAUUAGGUUAAGAACUGAUGUUUAUUUAACUAAUAUUUUUAUAACUGAUAAUCUAUAUUAAUAUAGUGUUAAGAAGUGCUACAAUUAUGAAAUGCACAAAGAUUGAUUAAACAAAUGUUACAAUGACAAAUUGAUUAAACAACUAUAUACUUGUUUUUUUUUAUUUUGGUAUGUAAACUUUUUUGGGUCCAAUUUGGUACUUAAAAGUAUACCCGUUUCCCAAUUAAGUACUUGAAGUAUGCUUUCGUUAUGUUUUUCAGUCCAUCUUUUAAUAGAUGUUAAAAAAACCUAAUGGCCAAUCAAAUAAUGCCACAAAAUGGUCACCCAAUUAUUUAAUAUUAUCUUUUUUGGUCAACAAAGGGCUAAUUUGGUAUUUUUGCAAUUUUACUUUUUUUUGUGACCUUUUCAACUAAAGAGCUAAAAAACAAAUUUAUCAGCUAAAUUUUAUUGGAAAUAUACAAAUAAUAGAAACAUCCAAAAAUUUAAAAUAAUAACUUUCAUCUUUUCUCAUUCUUUUAAAAUUAACCCUCAACGUUAUAAGGAAAAGAAAAAGUGAAAAAAGAGAUAGAUCAAAUUACACAAUUUAUAAAUGUUGAGGGUCAGUUUUUUAGAAUCAAGACUAAAUUGAUAUAAUUUAUAAAUGUUGACGGUUAUUUUUGUUAUUAUGCGAAUUUAAAAAGCUACCAUGGUUAGCCAACUAGUGACAAAAAUAAAACAAAGUGAAUAGUUGGGUAAUCAUUUUGUAACUUUUUUAUAGUUAUGUAGCUAAAACGAAAAUUACUAAUAGUUGGGUGACCAUUUUUUAACUUUUAAUAGUUGAGUGAUAAAAAAGAAGUUUACUAAUAGUCGAGUGACUACUAGUGUAGUUUACCCUUAAAUUUAUUUAAAUAAUAAUUUUUAUAAUAUUGUAAUUAAAAAAUUAGGAAAAAAGAUAUCUCUAAUCUCUCUUAAUUUCAAAAUUGAGCAAAUUAGUCCCUCUCAAAAAAGUUGGAGCAACCUGUCAAUUUUGAAAGUGAACAAUAAAUGACAAUUAAUCAAUAUGUUAAUGUAUUUCAUCAAUUGUGCAUAAUUUAAUUGGUAUAAUAAAAAAUUUAGCGCUAAACGUUUACAUAUUUUAUUAAUUUAUUAUUGAUUCUAAAAAAUUCAACAAAUUUAGCCUCAACUUUUACAUAUUUAUAAUAAUAUUGUGGGCUAAAUCUGUUAAAUCAUGACUAACUUAAUAGAAUGUGUAAAUUAUGAGAGCUAAAUUUGUUAUUAUACCAGUCAAAUUUAUCUAAAAUUGAAGGAAAAUAUUAACAUUGUGGUUAAUUGUCAUUAGUUUAUCACUUUCAAAAUCGGCAGGGAAUAAAUUGUUCCGAUUUUUUAAGAGGGAUCAAUUUGCUCAAUAUCAAAAUUGAGAGGAACUAGUGGUCGUUUUACAAAAAAAAAAUCAAAAAGUGUUAUUUUUUUAAAUAUUUAUUCCUUGUGAAAGAGAGGAAGAAAAAGAAAGAAAUCUGUCCAUUUUCAUCGUCUUAGGAAAUUGGGAGGAGAAGGCAAGAAUGGAAGCAUUGACCAUGCAUUUAGAAUACUUUGAAAACUCCGAAACAGCCUCGAUUAUGAAGGAGAUUUCUCAUUUGAUCUCUUCUUCGUCUUAUUUCUCUCUCUUUCUUUUUCAUUAUUGACUUUGAUAUGAUCAAAACAGUAUAUCAAAGCAGCGGCAGCGGCUCUCUUCUUCAUUUUCUUGAAAUUUUCAAAUCGACCAAGAUCGGUUUUGGACUCAAGUAAGUUAACCCAUCAAGCUUUUUCACUUCUUUGUAGUAUUGGAGUGACCUAUUUUGGAUUUCAAGCUGAUUUUGUGAUCUUAAAAGACUAUAUAGUUUGGAGAUUUGUUCUUCUUUUUUAUUGGUGGGUGUUUGCUUAUUUGCUUAUUUUACUGGUUUCUCUUUUUCUCUUCUUCAAAGCUUGGAGUUUUUCAGCAAAAAGUAACCGACACAGAUCGGGUUUGGACUCAAGUAAGAUAACCUAUCAAGGUUUCUAAUUUUGUUUUGGUUUUGGAGUAAAUAAUUUUGUGAUCUUAAAAGACUACAAUAUGGAGAUUUGUUAUUCUUUUGUUAUUGGUGUAUGAUUGCUUAUUUGGUUUUCUCUUUUAAGUUGUUGCCUUUAGCAUACCUUCUUAAACUAGAUUGCCUGUAUAUCUGUUUCAAAUAUAUCUUUGAGUCAAGCGAUUCAAUUUUGCAGAAUUUCCAGUUGAGAAAUAGAGAAAACCAAGUACUUGAAGAGGACUAUUGGUAUCUAUUACAGCAAUCCACAUUGAGCUUUUUUGUAUACAAUUAAGGAGAAAAGGGCCUAAGUAAACAUAUCGAGGUUUCAGGUUUUGAAGUCUUUUAAAGUUUCUGGAGAUGGCUAGUGUCCAAGAUCAACUAGAAAUCAAGUUUAGAUUGAUUGACGGAUCAGAUAUUGGACCUAAAACCUUUCCUCCUGCAACCAGUGUUGCAACCUUGAAGGAAAGUGUUCUUGCUCAGUGGCCUAAAGGUCAGUUUGGCCUUUGAUUAACACCGAAUGAAUAUCUGCCUUUCGUCUAAUUUUUGUUGGUGGUAAAAGUACCAUGGAGGUCUCUGUACUAGGAGUCAAAUUGUAUUUUGCCCCUAGUAAAAAAUGGGCAAAAACUAAUCAUUUUGUUAAAAAUUCUAUCUAUUUUUGCUGUUAAAAACUGAUAUGUAUGUCAGCUUGAGGUACACGUGGCAACUAUAUGGUUAUUUUCAUUAAUCACGUCAGUUUUUAAGAAAUUUUUAACAAAAAGGAUCAAUUUAUUUUUUGAUAUAAUGUACAGGGACUAAUUUACCCAUUUUUUAAGUAGAAGGGGCAAAAUACAAUCUGAUUCCUAGUAUAGGGGCCUCUAUGGUACUUUUACCUUUAUUGGUGCAUGUUUUGUUGUUCUAUUUGGUUUGAAAGUAUAGGAUCAUGAAACAUGAUAUUGCUUUUUCGAAGUUUGGAUAGUUUACUUGUACUAUUUGGUGUUUGAUUAAAUCCAAAUGAAUAUUGUAUUUUCUAUAUGUUCUUUAUCUAAUUGUUUAUUGCUUGAUGUUUCAUUGUUCCAUAUGACAUUGCUUUCCGAAAUUCGUAUAGUAUAUUUGUAUUGUGGGUUUAAUAUUCAGAUGAGAGAAACAAUGCAAGAAAAUAGAAUAAUUCUAUUGUACUUUAUUUCCUUAGGACUAAAUUACAUUCUUUGAUCAGUAAAUUGAUUAGAAAUGCUCUAAAGUACCAUGAAGGUCCUUAUACUAGGAGCUAGAUUGCAUUUUGCCUCUUUUACUAAAAAAUUGGGCAAAUUAGCCCCUAUACAACAGAUCAAAGAGCAAACCGGUCCUUUUUGUUAAAUCUCAUCCAUUUCCACAAUUAAAAACUAGUAUGGUUGAUAGAAUAACCAGACCGUUACAUGUGGCGUGUCACAAAUACCUCAUUUGGCAUACAAGGACAAGUUUUUAACGGUAGAGAUGGAACUCUUAGCAAGAGGAUCAACAUGCUCUUGGAUCUAACGUACAGGGACUAAUUUGCUCAUUUUUUGAAUAGAGGGGGCAAAAUGCAAUCUGACUCCUAGUACAAGGACUUCCAUGGUAUUCUUACCUUACCAGUGUUGCUGUAUGAAUGAAAUAUUGCCAAGGCAACCAAGAUAACAUGCUACAAUAUAUGAAUUAAGAAUGUUUUUGGCCUUUUUUUCCCAGUAAACUCGGUUUUUUUUUUCUUUUGAUAAAUGAUGUUUGUAUUCAUCCAAAGAAGUUGGCAGAUAAAUUGACAUAUUAUAAGGUUUUUGGCUUGCUUCUUUGCAUCAUAGGGUUUCUGUUGGAAAAUGUGGCUUUUAGAUUGUCCUUUUCGAACACUAUGAGGCACUUUUGUUGAACAUUUUAUAGUCUAAUUCCAAGCAGAGAUGAUCUAGAAAUUUGUCAAUUUCUCUUUCUCGAUUCUCGCUCUUAGGUGCUUCGCGUUUUUUUUGUAUAUUUUGUCAGCAUAUGGAAGUAUUUGCAGUUAGUUUUAAUUGUAAAUUGAAGUUACUCGAUUCAACUAAAAGCUUAGGUCAAGCUAAGUUCUGCCAUCUAGCUCUACCUUUAACUUGCAUUUGACACAUGAGGAAAACCGUAAAAUGCAGGGGCCAGCGUUUUAGUAAAGCACGCAAAUUGUCUCUGAUUGAAUGGCAUUAACCAUUCCUAUAUACUACGAGAUCUCUCUGCUCUUUUUUUUUCAGUCACUAAAAUUCCAUGUGUAAAUAUACAAAUUUAAUUUUGGCAGAGAAGGAGAAUGGUCCAAGGACAAUGAAAGAUGUCAAGCUAAUUAGUGCAGGAAAAAUACUGGAGAAUAACAAAACAUUGGGAGAAUGCCAGAGCCCUCUUUGCAGUAUUCCUGGUGGGGUGACGACUAUGCAUGUCAUUGUUCAACCUCCUCUGGAGAAAGGUAGGAUUUCGAAAAUUAUAAUAUGAAAAUUUUCAUAACAAGCUGUAACGAUUUCAUCGUUUUAAGGUUAUAUAUAUAAGGGGAAAUCCUUUUCCAUAACAAGCAAUAAAUAUCUUUUUCCUUUGUCAUUUUGUGAUAAUGAUCUUUAGGUUAAAAAGGGAAAACCCGUUUGUUCAGAAAUUGUUCAAGUUUGCUGUUUGAGGGUAUAAGUACCAUGGAGGCCCUUGUACCAGGAGUUGGAGUGCAUUUUGCCCCUUUUACGCAAAAAAUGAACAAAUUAGUCUCUAUAUGUUAGAUCAAAGAGCAAAUUGAUUCUUUUGUUAAAAGUUUCACGCAUUUCAAAUGUUAAAAAAACUGGUUCACGUACAUCAAAAUGAGGAAACAUGUGAUCAUUUUGUAUAACUGUCAGGUUAUUUUGGUAGCCAUACCAUCUUUUACCGGUAGAGAUUGAUGAAAUUUUUCACAGAAAGGACUAGUUUGCUCUUUGAUCUAAUAUAUGGAACAAAAUUACCCAUUUUUUGAAUAAAGGGAAAAAAUGUAAUCUAACUCCUAGUACAAGGACAAUCAUGGUACUUUUACCGCUGGUAGAGGUUUUCUGCUUUUUAGGUCAAAUUGAAAACAUUUGGUGAUGUUCUCCAUUGCUUUUUAGAGAAGUUUUAACUUGGUUUGCUUGGCCAUUUCUUGUUUAUAGUAUUAGGCACUGGGCUGAAACCAACCAUGCAUUCAUGCUACCUUUUCCGAACUUGGAACCUUUUUGAUGGUGCUUUUUGUGUGCGUUCCUUUAAAUUAACUUUUGUUAUCUUUCACCAAUGAGCAGAGAAGAAAGCAAUAAGCCAACCGAAGCAGAACAAAUGUUUGUGUGUCAUAUUAUAAUCUGCAACCUGAAAGGGGGCAACAUCAUUUUCAGGUGGUCCGUUAAUUUUAUGUUAUUCAGACUCUUCAUUUUUUUCCUAAAGUAGUUAUAUUUGACGCCUAUGUUCAACAUGUAAUUGAGCAUACCCGUCGGAAUCACGCCCUAGUACUCUAAACCAAGUUACAUGCAAACAAAUUUUCCUCAGAUGAAGAGUGUCAGAAACUGAAGUUGCGGAUCAGUGAUGGUGGUUGGCAAUGGCAUCAUGCACAUUAAUCAUAUAGGUCAUAUGAUUGUUUCGUUUUGUUUUGUUUUUUUCCUUCUGCUGGUCUAUGCCUUACAAGUUAUAUGUGUAAUUGAUGAUUGUCCAUCCAUUUUGUUCACUUUGUUCUAUUUUCACAUAAAUUGUACUCUGCUGCUAUCAAGCAACUUAAUCUCGGAUUUCAUGUCCAAAUACAUCUCGUAGGAUGCGUUUUCACGGAAUUUUUAUGUUUCGGAAUCAUCUUUCCUUUGUAUAGUACAUUACCAUUUCUUUUUGAUAGUGUAACUUUACUCGGAACUCGAAUUUGUGUCUUUGUUCAUAGUUUUACCAAGAAUAAAUGUUGUGAGUUUGAGAGUUGUUGCCUUAGUAAUUGUUCCUUUUUGCAUGCCACCAUUGUUCAGAAAAGUUCCAUGUUGGCUUGGUCUUAGGGACGGCAAAAUAAUCCGGACCUGUGGGGUUUCGACUUGAACUGUUCUUAUAGAUUCAUAUCGAGGCAGAGGGUUUUAAUUAAAAUUUUCAGGUUUGGGAUUGAACUUACGUUUUCCUAGUUGUGAUAUUUCUCUUCUAAUCUUGUUAUUUUUAUCAUAUUUUUUAUUUUCGUUUUAUGGUUCAUGUUCAAGGUUCGUGAUUACUCUUCUCAACAAUGUCGUUUUUAAAGUUUGAACUUGAAUUUUUCUUUGAGAAGCUAAUGUGCUUUAUCAUUGUCCCAGCACUUGUGAUCUAUGUGAUGUAUGCAUGUGAUCUGGCUUAAUUUUAGUCUUUAAAUAUAUGAUGCAAGCUUGAAUUUAAUUUUUUUAUAAAUAAUAUUUAUGUAAAUUAUUUUAUAAAUUAAAAUAAGUGCUUGCAUCAACAAAAAAAUUUCAUUAAAGAAGUAUUUUGCAGAAAGCUAAAUUGUUUUAUUAAAAAAAAGGGCUUGGGGGGGGGGGGGAAUGGAUUCAAACAUAAAAAGAAAAAUUGAAGUACAUGGUUAAAUAAAUAAAAAGUUAUAAUAUUCAAGCUAUUCAUAAAAUUUUAUAGGUACAAUGAUGGUUGAUUAAUAUUAGAUUAGAAAAAUAAAAUUAUAUAAUAAAUAUAUUUAUAAAAAUUAAUAUAAAUAAUAUUAGUUAAAUGGUAAAAUUAAUAUAUUGGAAGGGGCUCUGGUUCAUUUAAAAUGGAAAAAUUUUUACUUAAGCCUUUAAAUUUUUUUAAAAUUUUAAAUUAGUAAAAGUAAAAUUACAUUUUGAACUUUCUAAAAAUGAUAAAAAUUUGAGUUAAUUCUUUAAAAUUUAUAAAGAUAUAGACUAUUAAAAUAGUGACAUUGUAUUUUUUAUAAUCGUAAAAAUUAUAAUUUAAUUUACAUUUUUUCUAAAAAAAAUUUCUAGCUUUGCCCCAAAGAGAAUUGGGUCUAAAUCCUAUUAGUUGGUGCAAUCAAUUGUUUUCUUUUAUAUAUCAUUUGAAUUAAAAUUUUAAAGUUGCGAAAACAAAAUAUUUUUAAUUAAUAUAAAUUUUAAGUGAAUUUUUAUAUAAAUUUUAAAAAUAAAUUAGAUCAUUUUGAAAUUCAAUAUAAACUAUUUUUUAUUUAAUUAUGUAUAAAUAUAAAAAAUAAAAAGUAAAUAUUAUAAUAAAAAUAAUAUAAAAACAAACCUAAAACAGAAAUGCAAUUUAUAUUUACAUGACUUGAAAGAUACUAAUAGUUCAAUUCUUUGACAUACUAAAUUUGCUCUGUUUUAAAUUUUGGACAUAUCCUUGGUCUUUACUAUCAAUUUCUUUUCCAAGCAUUUGCAACCAAGCAAUUUUAGUGUAACAUUCCUUACUCGUCUCGACAAUCAGUAUAAACAGAAAAUACUACAAUAUAACAUUUUCAUAGCUUAAACAAAAAAUUUUCUUUUAUAAAAGCAUUCAUUCCAUAACAUAUUAAUGUUCUUUGAAUCAAAUAGACAACAUUUAGAAACAUUUAAAUAUAACAAAAAUCAUUUCGGAUAAUUAAAUACAUAUAGGGACAUAUUCUAAUCAUAAAACUAGUUUUUGAAGCUCUUCAACUCAAAACGAGGUCAUUCGAGUUUAGAAAAAUAGGGUUUUGCAAUAACUUAAAUUUUAAAACAAUUUAAUAAAAUAUUAACAAUAAGAUAAAAUCAUUUUGAAAGCUUUAAAAAUAUUUUAAAAUCAUUUAAAAACUUUUCGUGAGUGAUCAAAGGUGGCCAAGAUCAAAUACGAACUUCGAAGAGCUUAAAAUGACUAAAAUAAUGUAGUGGGGUCCGUCCAAGAGUAAGGUAUUAGUACCAGGGCCAUAGCUAUCUUACCUUAGCCUGGAAAUCUAAAUUUUUAGCUACUAACUUGCAAUGUUCCAAACUUUACCAAAACAAAUCAACAAGUUUUAAAUCAGUUUGAAACAUUUUCAAAGCUUAUUUAAACAUAAAUUCAAGUCUCAAACAUGCUCAUAUCAAUUUAUGAAUCGGCACCACAUAAAACAUCCAAAUAGUUUCAAAUGACACUUGAGUUCACAAGUUAAAAUACUUGCAAAUUCUUAACCUAGCCUAAACCUUUAUGUACAUGCCAAAAUACAAAUAGCAAAUACAAACCAUUACUAAUCCCAUCUUCUAAUCUCGAUGGUUAUACAACCCACUAAUAGCACAAUCUUGGACUUCUCAAAAGAGUCUUCCACUUACGUGUUUAAACAACUAACGAUUAAACUCGAAGAGUUGAAUAAGUACUCAAGAAUUUCCUAACUUACCUUAUUUGGAUCAGUCUUAAGUCUUUUAUGCACAUAAAGUCUUAUUUCAAAUAAGCCACAUAUUCACAAAUACCACAUCAAGACUUAACCACCCUAAAUCUUAAACUCCUAAAUGAAAUCAAUGAACAUAUGGCUAUAAGAGGAAUGAGCUUAUUUAUGAGUACGUUAGAAAAACUCUAACAACAGGAAACUUAUGUUUGAUUAAAAAUUCAUUAAGAAUCAUAUGUUCGGACUUCAUCAUGUGAUCGACUAAAUAAUCAUAAUGUAUAAGUUGAGCCUUUAUAAUUGGGUAAUAAGAAAUGAAUUUGACUGUCGUAAUUUAAUAUGUCAAAUUAAGCUCUCUCGAGUACUUAUGAGCUUGUUCUCAAGUAGUUUACACAUCUUUUUAAUGUUUUUUUUAUCGAUUCUUAUAUUUUAUUGUUAAUGAUAGCUUUUUUAUAUUUGACCUCUUUUAAGACCCAAAUUAGUAAAACUAUGUCGUUGUGAGUUUGAUGAUUUAAUUGAGGUUGUGUAAGGAGAUUAUUAAUGCCAAACAUCAAGGAGGACCUCAACUGUUGUGGGGAUCACGACACAGAUGCCUAUGUGUCGCAACACUAACCUUCUAUCACCUUAAGGAAGUGAAUUUCAACGAAAACCCAACUUGGAUUAACAUGUCAUUGAAGUCUCAAAACUAAGUGUGUGGUGUUGCAAUAUUGAACCCUCGAGGUUGUGAUUCCAAAUCAAUUGUUGAAGUGAAGGUACCUAGUGGCCUGCUGUCGAGGUUGGGACACCCGCAAGGCUAUCGCAACACCAAGUGCUCCCAAGCCAAGCUCGUGCCACUGCCAUGGAUGUCACGACACCGAAGCUUAGGUGUCGCGAUACUAAAGUUUGACGGGUGAAAAACUGCAAGGGCAAUUUUGUGUCAAACUCAACUCAAGUCAUCACAUAUUUACAUAUUCUUUAAGGGCAUUUUUGUAAAUGUUAAGGUUAGGGAAUCUGAUGCAUUUAAGGUAUCUUUAUGCCACAACUAAAUGAGGGAUUUUUAUCAUCUUUUUGUGAACAUUUUUUAUCCCCUCAACCGUUUUUAGCUUUCUAGGUUUUUCCUUUCUUAGCUUAGUUGUUAUUUAUGUUGUUUUGUUCCUUAUUUUUAAUGCACUUUUAGUUUUCUUCCAAAAAGAUACAAUGACCUAUAUUGUUAUUUUGAGUUUUCCUUCAAAGCAUUCAAUAGAUUUACAUAUUUUUAGUUAUAAAAAAUGCAAACAUAUUAAUUUGGGCUGUGGAUUUGUCAACAUUCAUGCUGCCAUUAUCUUCAUUAAGGACCUCUUCAAGAGUCACUAAGCAUUUUUAAACCUUUGCCUCUUUUGUGGUUACUUGAUGAAUCAUUUGAGCAUGAAAUUGGUUGGACUUUGUAGAUAAUGGGUAGGAACAAAGUUUUAUUGUGGUUGGUUGAUUGAAAUGUUGCAUGAUUAUUUUAGAUUUAGAGACUGAAUUGCAAAAAAUAAACUAAAUCAAAUAGACUUUAAAAUGUAAAAUUGACGACUUUAGGUGAACAUUUAGAUAGGUGAGACUGAAUGGAUGUCCUAUUAUGAACUAAUUUGAUUGUCCCGAUUUAAUUUAAUGAGGUUGAAAGAUAAAUUGGACUAAAUCGUCUACUUAGGUAAAAUGGUGAUCGAGUGGUAAAAUUGUACCAAUUAGGUGUUUGAGCAAUUUAGAUUCCUAAUACGAGAAUUAAUUAGCAAUAUGGAUAUCAAUUGACCACUCUAUUUCAUUGAAUUAAUAUUUUUGUACUUUUAACUUUUGUUCAAUUUAGUCCUCCUAAGUAUAGUUUUGUUUAAUUAACCUUGAAUCAUGGAUUUCUAUAAUAUAGCACUUAUUCAUUAGCUAGCUAGACUUUUCAAUUGCAUGCUUGAUCGUUCUCCAUUCAUCUUAUCGUCCAAUCUCUCUUGAGUUCGAUCUUUAGAAUACUCGGAGUGUUUUAUUGUAAUACUUAUAAAUAAUACAACUGACCUGUCACACUUGCAAUAAAAGUCACUUUUCAUUUCUUGAUAUUUUGUGCUAAUUCUCUGCUCGGUGUACAUACGCCAUGGUGUGGUCAGAAUCCACUAGUAACAUUAAAAUACGACAGGAAUGAAUUUAAUAGUAAUCACUUCUAAAGGGCUUAACGUUAAUAGGGAAUAUGAUAAUUAGGUUCAUCCUUGUAUAUUUAUUGAGCUUAUCAAGGUCAUGAGUUAGUUGUUUAAAUGCGUAGGUUAUGGACUUGACAAGUAGCUUGUGAUUUUCUGCUUAAGAGCUUUACAUCACAAUUCGAGAUUUUGAGGUUGUAAUGCAUCUAUGUUGGCUAUCAUUUUUAUAGGGAUCAUGACCUGUACACAAAUACUUAAUUUUGAUUUUGUAUUUGAGAAUUGAUUUGCAAUUCAAAAACCUAUUGGCAUUCCUAUUUGAGCAUACAUGGUUGCAAAUGCCCUUUCGUGUAUGUUUCACGACUGCCUAGUUAAAAGGUAUUUUGGUGUGUGCUGGAGGUGUCUUUGUCUUGAAUUUUUGAACUUCUUCUUCAAAGUUUCGGUACCUUGCUUUUAGGUAUUGAAAUAACCUAGUCAGUAACUCAUUUAGUUCUAGGGGUCUAAAGUAUCAGUACCUGGCUCAGAAGUUUUGGAACAAUUGAGUUAGAUAGCCAAAAUCAACAUACUGAGUUAGAUGUAUCAGUACAUCUCCCUAAAGGUGUACAUCUAGGCCAAACUUGAUUUAUUGCACUAUUUUGGCUUGUUUUGGAUCUUAGACACCUCUAAUCACUCCCAAGUCAAUUUUAAAUUGUUUCUAAAUCCCCCAAAUAAUCCCAAACUUGAUUUUAUGAUUUAAAAAUUGUUCUAAAAUUUAAAUUUUAAAGAUCUCUAGAUUUUCGUUCCGUAUCAGUAACAUCUCCCAUUCGUACAAUACACUAAGACUGAUGAGGAGCGCUACAACAAUUUACUUGCAUCAUGUUUGGUUGGGAGAAUGGCUAUUUCAUUCCCUCUUUAUUCAAUAUAAAUAAAUAUUCAAUAGUUUGGUGGAAGAAUGACUCAUUCAAUGAAAUAGCUUUUCCCCCUCUAUUCACUUCCCUUUGUAAUAACCGUUAUUUAGUGUUACGACGUUACCUUGAAUAGGAAAUAUAUAUAUUCAAAUUUGCCCUUAAAAAUAUUUCUAUGAUAAAAUAAAUAAUAAUUAUAUAAAUAUUAAAUAAAAAAUUUAAAUUAUAUUACUUUAAAUAUACUUAUUAAAUAAUAAAAUAUAAUUUCAUAAUUUUAAUAAUAAAUAUUUUAUCAUUUAAAUAUAGAGGUUGGGUCGGGCUGCAACCUGGUUUCAAAAAAAUUCAAACUCGCUCUUGUUUUUUGGUUAGCUCGACCCAACCUGUUAACUCGUUUCAUUGCUCAAAUAUUAAUAAAAAGCUAUAUUUUUAUAUUAUUUUUUGUAUUUUUAUAAUUAAAAUUACUUUUUAUUGUUUAAAUCAAAUUUGGGUUGGGUCAGAUCGGGACAUUUUGGAAAAUGAAAAUCUUUUCCCAAGUUUAGAUCAAGUCGAGUCGAACUUACUACAUCAAGUGAGUUGCCUGGUCUAUGAAUAAGUCUAUUUACAUGUAUUUAAAAAUAUUAUACUUUUAAUAUUUUAAAAUCUUUUCAUAUUUUAAGUAAUUUCUUAGGAAAAGAGCUUGAAUAUUUAUUUAAAUAAAAAUUAGUAAUUUUUUCCUUUCAAAAUUUGAGUUAAACACAAAACUUGACAUGAGUAUUACAAUUAGAUAUCUUCUUCAAAAUUUUGAAAAAUUCUAUAAUAAUACCUUAUUUCUGAAUAUGUUUUACUUAUCAUAUAAAACACGAGAAGUUUAAAUAAUUUAUUAUUAUAUUUAAAUAUUUUAUUGAGUUAAUAUAAUUUUUAAUCGGAUCAUUAACUCAGUAAUGAAUUUACCAAAGACCCUUAAUUUUUUUAAAGCAACUUUAUCUUUUCACUUAAAAUCUAGAAAAGUGAUAAAGAGGAUUAUUUAUAUUGAUUUUGGGGCAAUUUACCAAUAAAAGUCUUUUUUUUAAAAAAAAAAAAAUUAUCGAAAUGGGCCCAUUAUUUAAUUAUUUACCGGAAUGGUCCUUUUCCGCGAAAUCGCAUCCACGUCAGUGCGAUGUCAGGGUACGCGCCAGGAAAUCGCGAGUUGCUGACGUGGACGCGAUUUUGACCCGCGCGUGAACAGUACCCAACGGUCAAAAAUUUGACCGUUGCCCCCCCAACAGUAAAAAAAAACCUAUAAAUACCCCCACCCCUUUUUGUUUUUUCACAAACAAAUCCUCUCUCAUAUUUCCUCUCAAUUCCUCUCAAUUUCCUUCCAAAAUUCUCUUAAUUUCCUUCCAAAAUUCUCUCAAAUCCAUAUUUAAUUUCAAUUUCCUUUUUUAAAAUUUUUUAUAUUUUUUAUAAAUCAUAAAAAUUUGUACGAUUUCAUCAAUGGCCGGAUCAUUGACUCGUCUUGAUAGGCAUCACAUAUCGGUGGAACAAAUGACAAUGGUAAGUGUUAAAUUUAAUUUUUAAAUAUUAUUUAAGAAUUUUUUAUUUAUGUAUUUUUAGAUAAUUAUUAAUUUAUUAUUUGUUAUAAAAGUCUGAAGAUCGGGUAUUGGAAUGCAAUAUCCGGAAUAUGCAUGCUCCUCCAUCAUCGUUGGUAGAGAACUAACUGCGGGAAGCGGGUGUUUGGCACGUGGCGACGGUAGGCCGGGGAUGCAAGUUGGAACCGAAACUGAUCAGUGCAUUGAUCGAGAGGUAGAGACCCGAGACGCACACAUUCCAUCUUCCAUGUGGAGAGUGCACUAUCACUCUAGAAGAUGUUAGUCUGCAGUUGAGAUUGCCGGUGGAUGGGCACCUAGUCACUGGGUCUGCCCAAUCUAGCAAUUGAGAGACGGUGUGCUACGAGCUUUUGGACUCUAUUCCGGAGAAAAUGGAGGGAGGUAAGGUCGAGAUGGGCUGGUUACGUGACACAUUCCCUGAUCUGGAUGAAGAUUCAACCAAAAUUGAAAGAAUCCGAUAUGCUCGGGCAUACAUUCUUCAAAUAAUUAGAGGUUAUCUGAUACCCGACACGUCACGGAGCCGCGUACAUCUAAGAUGGCUGCUAAAACUCGUUGAUUUUAGAGCAGCCGGUGAAUUGAGUUGGGGAUCUGCCGUCUUGGCAACAUUAUAUUGGGAGAUGUGCGGGGCGACGCGACCGAGGAGAGCAAACAUCGGAGGUUGCCUGUCACUACUGCAGUCAUGGGCACGGUUUCACUUUUCUACGUCCUCGAGUGAACCACCCAUAUACAUUCCCACUCAUAACGAGGUAAAUUUUAUUAUAUUACAUUUUACAAUUAUUAUUUAGAUUUUAAAAAUAAAAGUAUGCUAAAAAUUUAUUUAAUUAGGUGGAACCAUCCGGCAAGUUAUGCUCAAUUACCGCCCUCUCUUGAAGAUAUACGGCUUCUAUUGGACCAACGGUUGGAAGCAGAAGUAAGAAUUAUUGCAAAUAGAUAUUUCCAUACAUUUGCUAUUCGAUUGAUAUUUAGUAUUUAGUAUUUAGUAUUAUGUAUAUAACUAAUAUUUCUAUCAUGUUCAUAUAAUUUCAAUGGACACCAUACGAGGAUCCGGCAAUUCGGGCAAUAAUCCCGGAAGAGUUUUUACAAAAUCCACAAGCUUGGCACGUGAAAGUCGUGUUGGUUAACUACGCAACCGUGGAGCCGCACCAGACAGACAGAGUGCUACGACAGUUUGGAUGUAGACAACUGAUUCCGGUGGAUCCUGAGGUGUUUGACGAUCAACACAAAGUUGACAUUCGGCAAUUGAAUACGGAUUGGACGAGAUACUGGUCUGAGUACAUGGAAAUGUGGGAAGAUCGGUAUGAAUAUUUACCUACUCAGGAACCAAUCAUCAUUCCGGAGUUAUCGUGCAUUCCAGAAUACAUGCCAUGGUUUAGGAUCCAUGGCAAGCCGUAUUUACUGACGCCAGAGGAGAGGCAGCGGCAAAUACCUGUCGAAAGGGUAAGGCGCGGGCCUCUAAAUCCAAGACGAUAAGACGAAGGCAGCCCCUCAACGAGGCCCAGACAUUCACCUGGCUCAUCAUCAGCGGCCAUAAGAUCACCAGGCCCAACGAGAGCACCGACGCAGCAGUUCAACCGAUGAUACCCACUCAACCGCCUUUUUAGAUGAUGCCAGGUGCGUUUCCUAGCCCUUAUAUGUACCCUAACCCUUAUAUGUAUCCUUUUCCAAGUCCUAUGGCAGGUUGGAGCCAAAUGCCCAGUUUAGCUCCAUUUCCUGUUAUGCCGAGCAGACCGCCGAUGUAUAGGCCAACGGCGCAUGAGGGAUCGCAAGGGGGGCCGUCGGGGAGCUCUCAUUUUUACCAAUCCCCAUUAACGUAUGGGUUUCAAACACCGUCGCCGUUCCUGAUGCAAACACCUCCACAUACACUAUUCUUUGAAGGUGGAUCAUCGUCCCAAGUUCGACAACCAGAUGCCGAACCGGAAGAACCAGAAUCCCCACCGGAGGAACAACAACCGUCGCCGGAAGCUAGAGAAAUGAGGAAUCUAGCGCGUAACCAUCGACGGCCGCCAUGUGGCACUGAAUCCCCCGGGCAUAGACAUUGAUUGCCGUAUUUAAAUUUAUUUGUACAAAUAUUUUGAAUAUUUUGAUAUUAUUUUAUGUAAAAAAAUAGAAAUUUUUUGAGUUAUUUUGAUAUUAUUUAAUGUAAUAAAAUAAAAGUUUAUUUGAUGUAAUAAAAUAGAAGUUUAUUUGAUGUAACAAAAUAGAAGUUUAUUUGAUGUAAUAAAAACCCUAACCUAAUUUAACCCUAAACCCUAACCUAAAUUAAUUAAAAAUCCUAACCCCUAACCUAAAUUAAUUACAAACCCUAACCCUAACCCUAACCCUAACCUAAUUUAAUUAAAAACCCUACACCAUUAACUUAAAAACCCUAACCUUAACCUAAUUUAAUUAAAAACCCUAACCUAAUUUAAUUAAAAACCCUAACCCUAACCUAAUUUAAUUAAAAACCCUAACCUAAUUUAAUUAAAAAUCCUAAACCCUUAACUUAAAAACCCUAACCUUAACCUAAUUUAAUUAAAAACCCUAACCAAACUUAAACUUAAAAACCCUAACCUUAACCUAAUUUAAUUAAAAGCCCUAAACCUUAAACCUUAAACCCUAAAACCCUAAAGCUCUAACCCUAACCUAAUUUAAUUAAAAACCCUAACCUUAACCUAAUUUAAUUAAAAACCCUAAUUUAAUUUAAUUCAAAGCCCUAAACCCUUAACUUAAAAAUCCUAAACCCUUAACUUAAAAACCCUAACCUUAACCUAAUUUAAUUAAAAACCCUAACCUAAUUUAAUUUAAAACCCUAAACCCUUAACUUAGAAACCCUAACCUUAACCAAAUUUAAUUAAAAACCAUAACCUAAUUUAAUUAAAAAUCCUAAACCCUUAACUUAAAAACCCUAACCUUAACCUAAUUUAAUUAAAAACCCUAACCUAAUUUAAUUAAAAACCCUAAACUCUUAACUUAAAAACCCUAACAUUAACCUAAUUUAAUUAAAACCCUAAACCCUUAACUUAAAAACCCUAACCUUAACCUAAUUUAAUUAAAAACCCUAAACUCUUAACUUAAAAACCCUAACCUUAACCUAAUUUAAUUAAAAACCCUAAAUUCUUAACUUAAAAACCCUAACCUUAACCUAAUUUAAUUAAAAACCCUAACCCUAACCUAAUUUAGUUAAAAACUCUAAAUCCUUAACUUAAAAACCCUAACCUUAACGUAAUGUUAGAUUUAGAAAAAUGUUUUGACUGGUACUAACAAAUAAUAAUUUUACAUAAUUUGAUAAUUUUACUAACCAUUAAUACAAUUUUUUGACUUAAUAAUUUUACAUUCACAUAAUAUUAGAUUUGGAAAAAUGUUUUGAUUGGUACUAACAAUUAAUAAUUUUAUAUAAUUUGACUGGUACGAUCACGCAACCGGUGUGGUAGAUCUGGAAACUCUAACGCAUCAUCUGCAGACAGAUCGACAAUAUGCAUGUGGGUUGGAGGUGAGUAUGCUCUGAAUCGUGGAUUUUCUUCCUCAUCUGAACUCCUGUCAGCAUCUUCAGCUUCUGUUGGAAUAGGCUCUGGUUCAGAAAAUAAGCCAACUUCUGCACCAUCCGGUCUGGGCUCUCGAGGUGGAUCCACAUCGGAGUCAUCUUCUAACCCACAAUUAUCUAUAGUGUACGAGGUCCCCCAACCGGUUGACGUCGUAAGGAGUACAUCAUCCAUUCUUCUGGGCAUUUGAUAACGUCCCCAAUUGGAUGUAGAUUGCCACCCGCUAGAACUUGAUGCCGCUCCUCAGUACGUAUUUCCAGCAUCAAACAUCGAGCCACCGACUACAUGUCCCAUCCACCGACAGAGUGUCUUGCAAGGGAUAUGCAUUCGACACCGCUACCGAACAUGGGCUGUUCCGUAUUUUGUAACCUGUUGACCGAGUGUCAGCUAGGGAUGGUGUAUACAUCUCGAACACCGGUCGCUGGUACAUCAGUUGGCGAUGUAAAUUGUAUAUAUAACUCAAUAUAAAGUGCUCCACUAGCAAGAUGAGCCUGCACCAUUGCCUCCAAGCUACGAGCACCUUUUAUGUCGAACGAGUCAUAUGUCACCGAAUCAACAGAAGAACAAAAUCGAUACGUGAUAGAUAGAAUUUUUCAUUGGCGUCGUUCCAAAAAUUGUACGCCUAAUCCUUUUACGAAGUUCUGUCAAAUCUAUGUUCUGGUUAAAAACUAGUCGCACCGUAUUCUCUGACAAAAAAACAACACCAUUCUCGGUGUGGCAAACCUCACCAUCGUAGUAAAUAACAGCACUAAUACGUUCACUCAUAUUUGAAACUCUAACCUUCUUAGCCUCUCUAAAUUGUUUCUGCUGUGACUUUAUGCAUUCUGAGAACAUUUUCUGCCUAGUUUAUAGCUUUAGCCCUAUCAUGCUACUGUAGCAAAAGUGCGUCCACGAGGGCGCGAUUUCACAAAUUCUUCUCAAAUAGUAUCCUGCUAGAAGCGAUUUUAUAUUAUUUGCUCAGAAACAUCAAAAAAAUUAUUUCUUACAUGACCUACUGUAGCAAAAGCGCACUGACGAGGCCGCGAUUUCAAAAAUUCUUCUCAAAUAGCAUCCUGCUAGAAGCGAUUUUAUACUAUUUGCUCAGAAACGUCAAAAAAUAAUUAUUUCUUCCGUGAUCUACUGUAGCAAAAGCACGUCCAUGAGGGUGCGAUUUCACAAAUUCUUCUCAAAUAGCAUCCUGCUAGAAGCGAUUUUAUACUAUUUUAUCAGAAAAGUCAACUCAAAAUUAUUUCUUCCAGGACCUAAAAACCCUUAAAAGCCUGAACCCUAAACCCUAAAAGCCCAAAAAACUAAUGUGGGAAAAACCGCGAAAUCGCGUCCACGUCAGCGCGAUGUCAGGGUACGCGCCAGGAAAUCACGUCAAAGGCGCGAUUUGCCGCCAUGUCAGCAACUCGCGCUGACGUGGACGCGAUUUCCUAGCGCGUACCUUGACAUCGCGCUGACGUGGACACGAUUUCGCGGAAAAAAGACCAUUCCAGUAAAUAAUUAAAUAAUGGGCCCAUUUCGGUAAUUUUUGAAAAAAAAGGACUUUUAUUGUUAAAUUGCCCAUUGAUUUUGUUUUAUAAAGAAUUUCAUAUAAAGUUUUUAUUAAGUUUAUUUAUAAAGAUAGUUGAAUAAAUGUAAUAAUAUUUAAGGUAUAUUUUAAUUUUAAAUUAAGAAAAAUAAAAUAAUUAUUUAUGUGCAUUAUAUAAUAGGUUAAAAUAUGUAUAUAAUUUUUGUAUUUUUUGAAAAUUAAAAAUUUAGUUUCUUAUUUUUUUUUAGAUUUUAAAAUUUAAGUUUAACAGUUAUUACUGAUAUUUUUUUAUUAAAUUUGUUACUGUGACAUUUAAAAAAAACUACUUACUUGCUAUGUAAUUAAAAAAAGAUAUCAUAAUUAAUUUAAAUUUAAUAACUAGAUUUAAAUUUUGAAAUCUGAAUAGUAAAGAAAUUAAAUCUGUAAAAAUUAUCCAUAAUAUUUUAAAAAAUAAUUAUUAUUAUAUUUUCAUCAUAUCCACAAAAUAAGAGCCACGUGUAAGAACAUAGAUGAUUACCGAUAUUCUCUCCACUUAAACCUUAUAUAUGUCCGAACAGAACUUUCAUUCCUUAAAACGACAUCCCCAAACUACAGAAAACGCAGAGUAAAACCAAACAAAACCGAGGGAUUUCGAGAAAAGCCGAGAGACAGCAACUAGAACUCUACAAGUUCAUUUUUUCCCCCUUACUCCACGCAAAGCCAAUCGAUUAUUUUUGUUAAAUUCAUUUGAACUUAUUUCAUCUUUUUGAAAUCUGAACUUAAAUCAGUCCAACAAUGGCGGCUUCUUCUUCUACUACUUCAAUGGCGUCUGUUAAUGGUUUCAGUUUUUGUGCUACACGUUCUGUUUCUAAUAUAAACAAUCUCCUUUUAACUCACCCACGCCUUUCUUUGAGCUUUCCUUCAAAACCCAAUUCAUUGAAAUCCUUUAAACCACUUCAGUUAAGGAAAAAUGGGGUUUUUGAGAGGUUUUCAAGGACUUCUUCAAGGCCUUUCGUUGUUCGUUGUGAAGCUUCAACUGGGAAGGUUAGCUUGUUAGUAGCCGAUAGUUUUUUAUUUUAUUUUAUUUCCAUAUGCAUCGUCUCGAUAUAUUUCUUUUUAAGUAGAGAAACAUGAUUUGUUUUAAUAAUUCUAGUUUAAUUAGUGUUAAAGAGACCGAAUCUGUAUUGAUUUCGAGUUGCUUCUUCAGUGAUUUUCAUUGGUUCAGUGCGAAUGUUGUAUGUAGAGAUGCUAGUACUCGUGUGUAAUUGUUGGAUACGAGUAUGUUUGUUGAGGGGUCUGCCCUCUUUCGGGAGAAGUAUUGUCGUCCAUCGAGCACCGGAUCAGAUCCUCAAACACUGGAGAAAUUGUGCCCAGAAUGUCUGUGCUCGGUUUUAACCCCAGGUUUUGUCUCCUUAUUCCGAGGAGAGCCAUACGGAUUCAUGGAGUGCGUCUAGUACACCAAAGAAAUGUUUAACAUUUGGCCUUGGUGGGGUUCGAAACCCACCAAGACUAAAGGUUAAACAUUUCCUUCGUGGAUUAAUGCUCCUGCCAAACGACUUGAAUCCUUUUGUGCUUUUCUCGGAGUAAAGAGACAAAUCCGGAGCUAAAACCAAGUAUAGACACCCGGGCAUAAUACCUUCAUUAUUUGAGGGUUCACAGACAGCACUUCAAAGACUUCUACAGAAAGAGAGCCGAUCCCCCUCAAGAAUGUUCAAUAGUUUUCUUAUAUUUUCAUGUGUUUUGAGAUUUCUUGAUUAUAUCCUCGUAUCCAUAUUUGAAUAUGGCUUAGUCAACUUAGUGUGAAGUAGCUUGCUUUAUUAUGUAAUUGUCUUUGUGAAUUCUUUUUGCUGAGUUGGGGUUGGGAUGUUAUGACAGAUUACACAACAGGACUUCACUGAAAUGGCCUGGCAAGCCAUUGUUUCUUCACCAGAUGUGGCUAAAGAGAAUAAGCAUCAAAUAGUGGAGACUGAACACUUGAUGAAAGCUCUAUUGGAGCAGAAGAAUGGUCUUGCUCGGCGAAUAUUUUUGAAAGUCGGAGUUGACAAUACUCGCCUUCUCGAAGCGACUGAUAAGUUCAUCCAACGCCAGCCGAAGGUAACUCCUCUCACAUAUGUUUGUAUCAAACCUUAACCAAUUGGUACUUGAACUUUACUACAUUGCUUGCCUCUAUGUCUCACCGUUUUCCUAGUUUCAUCUGUGGAUUAGGUAGUGCUGUUUUUUUGAUAAUAUCUCUUCUCUGCUUUACUAGGUUUUGGGUGAAUCUGCUGGUUCAAUGUUAGGACGUGAUUUGGAAGCACUGAUGCAGCGAGCAAGAGAGUGCAAAAAGGAGUACGGGGAUUCGUUUGUUUCUGUCGAGCAUUUGGUUCUUGGAUUUACACAAGAUCGG